UGUCCUUUAUGUUCAUGCCACUCGCGGCGAAGGUAGUAAUGUGUUCUAGUUUUCUCUUCGCAUUCUCCACAUCCCUCGUGUUCUCCUUUGAGGUGCUUGCGCUUUCUGAUUUCUUUUUCUUCUACCACCUCUUCUUUCUUCUCGGGUCUUGGGUUUUUCUUCUACUUUGCUUCUCUAAUUUCGUGUUCCAAGGGUGGCCUGAUAAUUCUAAGACCUCUUUCCACCUUUAUGAUUUGGUCCCCUGCAUGUGACUGAAGCUUCUUUGUGAUCCCCACCUUCACGUUGGAUGCUUCUGCCAAGAAACGUGGAUCGAAGCCACCGAACAUGUUUCUAUUGUUACCUUCUUCUUGCUUGCACCCACCACUACCAGGGUGCUCUUCUUUUGGGUUCCCAGGAAGAUAACUCUGCAACAUGCCACCAAAUUAAACGAGUAUAAUAAUAAAAAAAAGGUUUAAUAUGCAUCACGAAAUAUAUGAUGACCAUGUUAAGUUUGUUGGGUUUUUUUGGACUGGGUUUUUUUGGACUCCUUUCUAAUAUGGAGUAAAAGUCCAAAAUGAGAAGAGAAUAUAUUUCACUUAUUUAAAUUGAGAGGAGUUAGAUUAAAAAGAGAUAUAGUGAGAGAAACUCUUUUAAAAAAGAAAAAUAAUUACAAAUUAUUAAGAGAGAAAGAAUAAAAUGAAAAAUUAUUGUGAUGGGAUCAAGAAAAACAUUCUGAUCGAAAAAAAGAUAUCUAUAGAAAGAUAUUAGUGUUUGGUAUUGUACUCUUUAUAUUUUAGAGUUUUAUCUUCUUGUCUCUAUUAUUAAUUGUGGGGUUUGUUUUGAUUUGAUUAUUUGUAACAUAUUAGUAUAUUUAUUGGAGGUUCUCUUGUAUCUUUAUUGAUUAUAAUGAAAUUAUUUAUUUGAUCUGAUUUUUAUUCUUAUAUUGAGAAAUUUUUCAUGUUAAACAAAUUAUAUUUCUAUUUUUUUUUUAUUUUAUUCUUUAUGUUUCUCACAUAUCCUUAUAAGUUUAGAAGAAUUUAUUUAUGUUUUUUAUUAGUUGUUAUAGAGUUUGUUGUUGUGUUGGUGUAUUUCUGCGUUAAAGUUGACAAUGAAUUUCUUACUCUGGCAACUCGAUCAAGCUGGUUUGCCGAAUUGGCAGUGUGAAGGAGUUACAACAAGGGAAACAUUUGCGUAGUUGUAGGUCCAGUAAGGAAUUCCAGGUGGAACAGCGAAUAUGUCACCCUGCCUCAGGUAACGAACCUUCUGGUGGCGAUCAUGUUCCUGUUCCUGCUCAUGCUCACUCUCCGGUUGUGGCUCUUCAUAAGUCUCGUCACAACCAGGAAUUACAAUUCCCAACACUCCCUCUCCUAUGGAAAUAAUUAAGUUGAUGGAUAAGAAGACUAAUAAAUUGAUGAGGAGGAAUGGAUUGUGUUGUGUGCAUAUAUAUCAAGUUGUUGAACAACCUUGGAGUACGAAAUGGAGUUCGGGGUAAUUAACGUAGGAUGGCAAGUGAAGGCAUUGGGGUUGAUAAAAGCAACGCCAGUGCAACAUAGCUCAUGUUGGGAAUUGAGGGGAGUAAUCAAUCACAUAAGGGAAUCGCAAACACACACUUUAACCUAAAAUCAUAAACCUCAUGUUGGUAAGUCUUUUUUCGGGUGUUUAAUUUUUUCAUUUUCACACUUGUAUUUUAAGAUAUGAUGCCACCUUGGGAUUCGAUGGGAUUGUGAGGGUUCAGUGCAUGGAUGAUAUCGAGUUGGGACUGCUGCUUGAACUGGCAUUGAUCACGAGCUAAGCACCUGCACGUGAACUAGAGCAGAAAGCAGAGGAGCGCAGAAUGCUUGAGCAUACUGAACUGAACAGUAGUUGCGAGGGAUAUAGCUAGCAAAGGAGGAAUUGCUACGUGCUGAUUAAUUUAUAGAUUAGAGAGACACGUCACUGGACCCUGCAUGUAUUCCAAACCCUGAUUUCUUACCCCUUAUCAACUUUAUUGGCCUUGCGGUGCCUCUUCACAGAAUCAUCCAACAAUCACCCAAAUUCUUUUUCUGUUUCCUCAUUCAUAAUUAAUUUCUGCUACCUUAACCUGUGCUUUAUCAAGACCAACGAAAUUUAGAUAUCUUCUGAGCCCUACCUAGUACCUACUGUUUCUAUGCUCUAUAUCUUGUAACUGUGCAAGAUAAUAGUGUAUAUUGUUCCUUUUUAAUUGGUAUUUUGAGCCUCUAGCGUAUUUAUCCUGGCCAUCUCAUUUAGCCUUAAAAAAAAAUUUAAUAUGGUUUAGAAACAUAAAGUGCAUGUCGAUCCCUUUAUAUUAUAGGCUUAGACUCAUUUUCCUAGUAGUAAUUUAUUUAGUUAUAAAAAAAAUAGCGUAACUCAUAAAUUUUUACAUGUAUAAUUUCAUUCUUGAUAAUAAAAUAUUUAAUCAUAAAUUUCAUCACUUUAAAAUUAAAUUUAAUUAAAAUUAAUUUUAUUAAUAUUCAUUCCAAACAUGUACAUGUAAAUUUUAGAUAUCUAUUAUUUGAUUUAUUUUUCCUUUUUUAAGAUUGUGUACGUACAUUAAUUGUUGGAUAGAAUCGAGUUUCACAUACAUGCAUUCAUGUCUAUCUAAACUAAGUAGGAAUGUAGGUACUGAAUAAAGACAGCUGUUGUUAAAUGAAUAGAUAUGUCGUGUCUCCAUUCUUCCGAGUGAAUGCCCAUAAGAUCCAAAUUACUUAAACCUUUGUUUGGGCAGGUGGCUGUGAACUAUAGUCCAUCAAAUAUGCUAUUCAACACUCAGGAAGUGAAAAAGAAAAAAAAUAUAGAUGUAAUAAAUUUUAUAAUGUAAUAUUAAAAUAAAAAUAAAAAUAAAUAUAAAAUGCUAAACAUUUUUAAAAAAUACAAAAUGUUAAUGCGAUAUUUAACAUAGAUUAAUAUUUUCAGUGGCUCAAUUUCUUUUUUAUCUGUAUCUCUUCUCUUGAACUUGAGAUCUAUAUUUUGCUGCAGACGAUGACAUGGAGCCCGAAGAAAAGUACCACAAGCAAUUACGUAUACAAACGCAUAUGAAACCGAUUAAUUAAGGUUCUUACAAAUAAAUUAGAGCAAAUAGUCUGGGACACUUUGUUUUUCAUGAACUCAUAUAUAUAUAUAUAUAUAUAUAUAUAUAUAUAUCAAAAGCACAAAUUUUCUUUUAAGUUUACAUACUCAUAUGUAAAAUUGAGCUUAAGUGAAAAGAAAAAACAAACGAUAUAUAGUUAUUGAGGAUCAAAUUUGUGUUAUGUCACAAAAUUCUACAAUAAAAACCACUUAUUUAUCUAUCUGUAUCUAUUAUACAAAUAUUUUGCGUUUCUAUUUAUGAAUUUAUUUAUCAAUAUCUGCAGGUAUAAUUGCAUUUUACGAAGACUUAUUUACAAGAAAAUAAAUGUAUACACUAUUUAUAUUACACUAUUGUUAUACUAUUUUUUAAAAUAAUAUAAUAACACAUUUUAAUUAAAACACAUAUUUUACUUUUACCUUUUUUAAAUUAAAAAAAAAUGAUAACUAUAUUUGUAAAAUCAGAAAAAUGUAAAAAUAAUGGAAAUAUUUAAUGUAAAAAAUAUUGAUUUCCUUAUGGAAAAAUUAAAAUCGACUAAUUGGCAUGAAUAAUAAUUAUUAUUAUUAUUAUUAUAUAUAUAUAUAUAUAUGAUAACAAUAUUAUUAAUAUUGUUAUAUGUAUCUAAAAAAAAAAAGAAAAAACUCUCUUUCUUGGGGGUGUGACACUUUCAAUUUUAGUCUUUCAUGCUCAUCAUGUCCUGCAAUCGCUUCCCAAAGAUAUCAUCGGUCAAGCUACUAUCUCUUAGACCAAUUGUUAUCAACAAUAUUUCCUUAUUUUGUUCUGCAAGAAGGAUAGAAAAGAAUAAAAAGAAAAGAAAAGAGAUUGGACAGAAAAUUUAUUGGAAUUUCUUCUUUUAUUUAUGCUUUUCCCGCAUAGGUACUUGAGUGACUCAUUACACAAGGGUACAUAGUUACUAUACCCGUUAUUCUACACUUAACAAAGGGCAUCUAAGCCUUUGUUUCUUUUAUUCAUUCUUAUUUACUGCUACCAGCACUAGCUAGAGCCCAAAAGGACAAAAGUGUGGUAGCACAUGCAAAAAGGGCUCUCUAAGCCACAGCUCUCCUCUGAGACUCCUGAGGUGGAACCAGGAAGCUGAAAGGGUUGUUGUUCUUCACCUGCCUGGCCUGCUGGCUCUUUAGGUUAAAAGUGUGCUGAAUCACUUCCUCUGGCAAUGCGUUCAACAAUGAGUUUGCCCCUGCAAGGUUUCCGAUCGAGGGUCUAUCAUUGGUCUUGAAUGACACAUACUCAAAGUUAUCGCUCUGGGAUUUUGCAGCCACCGCAAAGUUUUGUGGAACGAUCAGCACCCCUCCCUCUUGCAGCUCUCCAUCAAACACUCUCUCACCAUUGCAAUUCACCACUUGUACCAAUGCCCGCCCAUUCAAUGCGUAUAUUAUGCUGUUCGCGUUCAGGGUGUAGUGUGGCACGAACAUAGCAUUCUGCACCAUACAUCAAUAUCCAUGCAAGUGUACGUUAAUCACAACAUGUUAUUCAUCCAAUAUUUUUAUAAUAUUAUUAUUUUCCUUUUAUCUUUUCAUCAUGAUAUUAAUUAAUUAUCUCACUAUCUUAUACCUUUUCUUCCUAAUCCUAUGGAAAUUAUUAUCAGGUAUUUUAUCACAUGUCAAUAUAUAGUCUCAUAGAAAAAUAUGUUUUUGUGAAUCAGAAUAUUUUUGGCACAAAAAUAUUUUUCUUUUUUUUUAAUCAAAGUAUUUUUUGGUUAAAAGUCAAAAACAAAUUUUUCAAGGUUGAAAAAAAUUUCAUACUCAUGAGUCAUAUAUCUAAAGGACAAAAUUAUCUACUAAUUGUAUCACAUGUAACAAAAAUUAAUAACACAUGCAUAAUUACAUCUCAUGCAGAGAUUAAUUAGAUUAGUAAAAUCGACACAAGAAACUGUGACUACUUAAUAACUUCGGGCAUUUCUAUAUAUAAAAAAAAAGCACAUGAAUAAUGCAUAUGCAAGUGCUAAGAUAACUUUGUCGUCACACAUUUUAAUUACUAUAUAUAACUAUUACCAUUUUUUAACAUUUGUUGAGCUUAAUUUAUAACAUGUAUGAUGUACGUACCUUGCGGAGUGAUCCAUACUGGGCACUGAGUUUGAGAAGCCAGAGGGCUGGGAAGUCAAGGCUGGUGGCGGUUGUGAUGCUACCAGCUUGAGGGUUGUAGAUGUCAGGUGAUGAAUUCUGACCAAUGUUUUGGCGAAGUCUCAUUGUGCAAAUGGUCUCAUCAAUGCCAUUUCUGCUCCUUUUGCUUUGGCGUUGGCAACCUUUGUCUGUCUCCACGCACUGUGGCUGCUCUUCCUCAUCAUCAUCAUCUUCUUCUUGCUGUGGCUUCCUCAUGGCUGGAGCUGUGACUCUUAGACCUCCUUUCACUGUCACAAUGGCUCCACUAUCCUCCUCUUCGUUCUCACCUUGUAGGUUUCUCACUAUCUGCAUGUUCACGCCGAACGCUUCUUUCAAGAAUUCAGGGGCGAAGCCACUCAAUAUGUUGCUUCCUUCGUUUUCUUCUUCUUGUUGCUUUCCUUUCUGGCUUUGGGAACCUCCUUGCUGCUGCUGCUGAUAUUUUAGAAACUCUUGCUCUUGGUUCCCAGCAAGAUAGAAUCUCUGCCAAGAAUUGUCAAAACAAAUAGUUGUCAAUCCGUAACCAGCUAGUAUUAGAACUUAAGAAUUCUAAUCUUAACGUUACAAUGUAGUCCAGUUUCCUUUUUUUAUCAGCUACAAUAUUGUCCAUGUAUUUCAAGACAAGAACCAAAUUGGAUAAAAAAACACAACUAUAAGGAUCCAAUUGGCAUAUUUUAAUCUAUAGGUACUAAAUUAGAAAGUGCAACUCCACGAACUAAAAUGAUAUUUAAACCUUUAAAGAAUUAUAAUAUCUAAUAUUGCUAUGUGGCUCACCCUAGGCAUCUGGUCGAGCUGGUUCUCCAAGCUGUUGGUGUCAAUAAUAGAAACGGCAACAACAGGAGUGUCUUCAUUGUUGUACAUCCACCAUGCAACACCAGUAGGCACUGCGAUCAAAUCACCCUCUCUGAAGCGAUGUACCUUUUGGUGACGGUCUUGGGGCCUCUGGCUUCGUCCUCGUUGCUGAGAUUCUUGCGGCUCUUGAUAAGUGCUAGGACAACCCGGGAAUAUCAUGCCAAAAAUACCAUUACCUAUUCAUAUAUAUUACACAACAACACAAAGAAAAAAAAAACAUUAGCAUAACCAUUUUCUUUUCAAAAUGCAUGGUUUCACAAAACUGAGAAAUUGAAACAAGUUAUUAUUAAUUUGAAUAUAUAAGAUAGGUUGGACGGUUAAGAAGAAAAACAAAAGCCACAGUUUCAAUCAAUUUUACUAACAAAAACUAACCAUUAACAUCUGAUAAAAAAAAAAUUAAACAAGAUUAUGGACCUUGUUGUAUGUAGAUUUCCUGGGGACCGUUGGUGUAGGAAGGUCUACGAAGGGCAUUGCGGUUAAGGGUGCAGCGAGAGAGGGCAACACCGGCACACUGGAAUGGCUUGUUGUUAGGGUUCCAGGUCUCAAUGAACCCACCUUCCGACUCUAUACGGUUAUCCGGUUUGAGGGCAUUCAGCUUUUGGAUCUGGCACUCAUUUUGCUGUGCCUGCUCUCUCAGAGCGAAGCAGCCACUGAAAAGAAGGAAACAAAGGGAAAGAACAAGCUUGGCCAUGGUGAUGAGUGUUCAAAGACAAUGGAGAGAAUGUUUGUGUUGUGAAGCGGAGAACCUGAGGCGUGGUUAUUUAUAGGGAAGAGAGGAAGGUGGGUGAGGGACACGUCACAGGAGUGGGGUGCUGAGCUUGAGACAUUCUUCAGUAUGCAUGGCUAUGGAAGCCUUGUGUGUUACACCUCAUUAAGUUCAUGGGUGUGAGGUGGCUUCGACAGUUCGACAUCAACAUUAUGUGACAAAUACCAAGUGUGUUUGUAUUGCAUGCAAUUGCCAGAAAACGGUGGUGGAGAGGGGGACCAUGGUUUCAUUUCAUGUUCGCGGGUUUAUGACAUAUGAAAUUAUAUGAAUACACCGUGUGACAAUGAUGGGAUCCUCAAAGUGAGAAGAAGGGCCGUCCAAAAAUGACCUCACUCUAGGGAUAGAGAAAUUAUUAGGUGUUAUGAAAUUAUCACUAUUCAUGGUUUUGACAGAUCUUUAUGUGAUACUAGUUACUCAAUUUUUUUUAAUUUAAUUAGGAAAUAAUUAAUCAUACUUUAAUUUACAUAUCAUAAAGAUUAGUGGAGAAUAAUUUGUACUGUAUAUAUAAUAAUUUCUUGGAUAGAGAAAUUAUAUAUUAGGGACAUUUUGUUUUUUGGAUUAUCCUCGUUUUGAUUGUCAAUAUAAAAAAAAAGUAAGCGAAAAUAAGAAGAAAAUGACUAAGUUUUAAACAAUUAUAUUAGUUAAACAAAAAUACUUAUAUGUUUUAGGUCUAUAAUAAAUAUGAUUAAUUUUAUUUUGAGUUCUAAUUUUAAUUUUUUUUUCUUUGUAUUGGAUUCUUAUAUCUUAAAAAAUUUAUUUUGACUCUUUAUCAUAGGUAGGUUAGUAAUGACAUAUCAAUCAAUUAACAAAUUACAAAGUCAGAGUUUAAAAACUGUGGGUAUUUCUGAUAGAAAAUAAUCUGGAUUGUCUCUAACUCAUUAGCCUCUCGAUUUUGUCAGGUUCGGGCUUAGUGAAUGCAACGGAUUCUUGGGUGUGUUCCAAUCUGCGUUGUGGCUUGGUUUCUUUUGCGGCCUCAAACACUUUCUUCUUCUCCGGAGGAAGUUUUUUAAACCCUCAUCCGAAUAAAGUAACCCCAUGUAAGCAAUUUUUAAACCCGUAUAGUCCGAAUAAACAAUUUGAAACCGCCCGAUUGUGUCUUUUUAUUUAUUCCUUUAGUGUGGGUUUGGUUCGAGCUUCUCUCGGGUUUAUGCUCAGCCCUAGCUACUACCAUUAUUCAUUUAAAAAAUAAGUUACAAUUUGUGACAGUUUGAAAGCUGUCAGAAUCAAUUAAAACAAAAAAAAUUAAAAAAUUAAAUGUAUUUUGAUCCUCCUAUUUUAUCAAAUCCAUAAAUUUGGUUUUUUAGUUUUAAGAUUUUAAAAUUGAGACCGUUAAUUCCUCUCUUUUCUAAAAUCAGGAAAUUAAAUUUUUCUGUCAAAUUAGUUGUGUUGACCAAAUGUUGACUGUUAAAAUUUUCUUUCUUCUUUUUCCUUUUGCUUUCACAUAAACCUCAGUCUUAUUUGUUCAAGGAAUUAUGCACAUUUUGUGCCCACUGUCCAUGGCUGCCAAAAGUUUCUUGGUUAUUCGAGUCAAUUAAUGCAACAAUCUGGAUAGAUUAAUUGUAGUUCUAUGCAAUGAUUAAGAACUAUCAAAGCAUUAAGAACUUGUAGCUCCUCACACACGAGAAAUAAGAAAUGGACAAGAAUGAGAAUGAGGACUCGAGCCUAAAAUUUAAGGCCAUGGACACCAAAUAUACGGGAAUGAUUGCACAUUUUGCAGGAAAUAAGUAGUGAGCCACAAACAUAAUUCCAUUUAUUCAAAGAAUAGUUAAGUUAUCAUCUUUAUAUAUUUUAAACACUUAAAUUAGCACCUUUACAUUAAAAGAACGCACACUAAUAUUAUUAAAAAAAGUAUUCAUCAUUUUGUAGGCCAACUUAAAAUAUAAUAUAUUAUAUAUAUAUAUAUAUAUAUAUAUAUAUAUAUAUAUAUAUAUAUAUAUAUAUAUAUAAUAUUAAAAUACUUAAUGUUUCUCACCUUUUUUAUGUUUGUUAUCAUAUAAAAAAACAUAGAUGAAUUUUAAAAAGUAAAUUAUUUACCAUCAAUUUAUAUAUUUGUUAAGCUACACAUAUUUUUUUAUUAGAGUUCUUUUUUUGUGUGUGUAAAAAUAUAUGUGAUGUCCUGUCAUUCUAUGUUUUACACAUUAGCUAUGCGAGAGUGUCUGUGCUCAUAUUGUGUCUGAUGUCCAUGUCGAAUUUCAAGCUUCAAAAUAUCAACUAACUAACUUGUGAGUCAAAUUACCGAUUGGGGGUAAUUUUUUUUAAAAUUUAUCAUUUGAGGAUAGAUUUUAAAUUAAUAUUCGUUUAAGGUUUAUGAAUUGAAAGUCAUGAAAAUGAAAUUAAUAUUUCUUGAAACCAAUAUCUAUUUAGUGUGGACAAUGGACAUCAAGACAUCAUAUGCAACACCAUCCUUGACUCUGUUGAAAAUUAAAAUCCCAGAAAAACACAUUUUUUAGCUCCCAUGUUAAAUUUGGAGCGAUGUUUUAUGUUUGAAGACACAAAGCACAAUGGUCCAAAUACUCUCGAACUUUCCAAGUUGGGUUGAGCUCCAAGUCAUGAAGAACCUGAUAAGACGUCUUCAUUCUUAAAGUUAAUCUUCAACUAUUGGGUCUGCAAUACUUUCAAUUUUAGUCUUCUACAUCAUGUCCUGUCCUGCCAACACUUCCUAAAGAUAUCAUCGAUCAAGCUAACUAUCAUUGGACCAAUCGUUAUUGUUUGCCUUUUGUUUUGCAAGAAGCUCAGAAGAAAGAAAAAAAAAAGAGAGAGAGAGAGAGACAAAAGAAGAUUUGACAGAAAACUCAUUGGAAUUUCUCCUUUUAUUCCCGCAAAAGUUUCGUGACUCAUUAUAGAGAGUACUUACAUUAUUAUUUUACAGUGAACAAAAGGCAAGCUAAAGCCUUUGUUUUCUUAUUCAUUAUUAUUAUUAUUAUUUAUUGGUUGCUAGCACUAUUGCCAAAAAGACAAAAGUGGGGUAGCACAUACAAAAAGGGCUCUAAGCCACAGCUCUCUUCUGAGACUCCUGAGGUGGAACCAGGAACUUGAAAGGGUUGUUGUUCUUUAUCUGCCUGGCCUGCUGGCUUUUUAGGUUGAAAGUGUGCUGAAUCACUUCCUCUGGUAAUGCGUUCAACAAUGAGUUUGCCCCUGCAAGAGUGCCGAUCAUGGGUGUAUCAUUGGUCUUGAAUGACACAUACUCGAAGUUGUCACUCUGUGAUCUUGCAGCCACCACAAAGUUUUGUGGCACGAUCAGCACCCGUCCCUCUUGCAGCUCUCCAUCAAACACUCUCUCACCGUUGCAAUUCACCACUUGUAUCAAUGCCCGUCCAUUCAAUGCGUAUAUUAUGCUGUUCGCGUUCAGGUUGUAGUGUGGCACGAACAUUGCAUUCUGCAUCGUACAUCAAUGCAUGCAAGAGUCACAACAAAUUCAUCCAAUAUUUUUAUAAUAAUACUAUUUUUUGUUUUGCUUUUUUCAUCAAUCUUUUCUUUUUUUUUCUCUCUAUUUCUAUAUAUAAAGACAGAAAAGAUAGAAUCCAUGCAAGUGUUAAGAUAACUCCGUCACACAUUUUAUAGUGUAUCUAAGAUUAUUAUUAAUCAAUAAAUCAUUAGUCUAAGUAUAAAUAAUGUAAUUAAGAUGAAAGACUCCAUUAAAAGUGAUCAAACAAAUUUUCUAAAAAAAUUAAUUAUCAAUAAAAUUAAUAAAUAUUUGGCAACAAAUAUUAGUUUAAUGUAUAAAUGUAUGUUGAUCUUUGAUGAAUGAUGUACGUACCUUGCGGAGAGAUCCAAACUCAGCACUGAGUCUGAGCCACGAGAGGGCUGGGAAGUCAAGGCUGGUGGCGGUUGUGACGCUACCGGCUUGAGGGUUGUAGAUGUCAGGUGAUGAAGUCUGGCCAAUGUUGUGGCGAAGUCUCAUGGUGCAUAUGGUCUCGUCAAUGCCAUUUCUUCUGCUUUUGCUUUGGCUUCCUCGGGGGCGUUGGCAGUGUUUGUCUUUACCCUUGCACUGUGGCUUCUCAUCCUCUUCUUCUUCUUCCUCUUCCUGGGGUCUUUGUUGCUGCUCGUCCGUGGGUGGUUUUAUCACGCUCAGACCUCCUUUCACUGUCACAAUGGCUCCCUUGUCUUCCCCUUCGUUCUCUCCUUGUAGGUUUUUCGCUAUCUGCUUGUCCACGCUGAAUGCAUGUUCCAAGAAUUCCAGGGUGAAGCCACUCAAUAUGCUGCCUCCUUCGUUUUCUUCUUCUUGCUGAUGCUUUCCUUUCUGGCUUUGAUGACCUCCUUGCUCUUGCUGAUAUUUUAGAAACUCUUGCUCUUGGUUCCCAGCAAGAUAGAAUCUCUGCCAAGAAUUGUCAAAACAAAUAGUUGUCAAUCUGUAACCAGCUAGUAUUAGAACUUAAGAAUUCUAAUCUUAACGUUACAAUGUAGUCCAGUUUCCUUUUUUUAUCAGCUACAAUAUUGUCCAUUUAUUUCAAGACAAGAACCAAAUUGGAUAAAAAAACACAACUAUAAGGAUUCAAUUGGCAUAUUUUAAUCUAUAGGUACUAAAUUAGAAAGUGCAACUCCACGAACUAAAAUGAUAUUUAAACCUUUAAAGAAUUAUAAUAUCUAAUAUUGCUAUGUGGCUCACCCUAGGCAUCUGGUCGAGCUGGUUCUCCAAGCUGUUGGUGUCAAUAAUAGAAACGGCAACAACAGGAGUGUCUUCAUUGUUGUACAUCCACCAUGCAACACCAGUAGGCACUGCGAUCAAAUCACCCUCUCUGAAGUUAUAGAUCUUCUGGUGACGGUCUUGUGGUCUGCUGCUUUGUCCUCUUUGUUGAGGUUGUUGAGGCUCUUCAAAUGUGCUAGGACAACCCGGGUAUAUCAUGCCAAAAAUACCCUUACCUAUUCAUAUUACAAAACAACAAACAAACAAAAAUUAGGAACCCAACAUUAUCAAUGAUAUGAUUAUGUUACGUCAUAUGGAAGAAAUCAAAACAAAAAUUUUAAUAUAUAAAAACUCAAAACAAAAAAAAUUAUUAAAAAUCUAAAAUAAAAUUCCCUCAUUUAUCAAACCCUUAAACAUAUUUAAGUCUAUUAUAUAUUUAUAUGUGAAGUUUGGACAAGAUGGACCUUGUUGGAUGUAGAUUUCCUGGGGACCGUUGGUGUAGGAAGGUCUACGAAGGGCGUUGCGGUUGAGGGUGCAGCGAGAGAGGGCAACACCGGCACACUGGAAUGGCUUGUUGUUAGGGUUCCAUGUCUCAAUGAGCCCUCCUUCUGACUCUAUACGGUUAUCCGGUUUGAGGGCAUUGAGUUUUUGGAUCUGGCACUCGUUUUGCUGAGGCUGCUCUCUGGAACUGAAAGCGAAGCAGCAGCCACUGAAAAGCAGAAAACAAAGGGAAAAAACUAGCUUGGCCAUGGUGAUGACUGAUGAGUGUUUAAGGACCAAUGGAGAGAAUGUUUGAGUUGUGAAGCGGAGAACCUGAGGCGUGGUUAUUUAUAGGGAAGAGAGGAAGGUGAAUGAGGGACACGUCACAGAAGUAGGGUGCUGAGCUUGAGACAUUCUUCAGUAUGCAUGGCUAUGGAAGCCUUGGGUGCUACACCUCAUGAAGUUCAUGGUGUGAGGUGGCUUCGGCAUCUCAAUUAAGUGACAAAGAGAAAGGUGUUUCAGUGUUUCUAUUGCAAAUGGCAGAAACUCGUGAUGACGAGGGGACCAUGCAUGGUUUCAUUUCUUUUCUUCCUGGAUUCUUUCUUUCCUUUUAUAUAUGCAGGUUCAUAAUUUAAAAAUUAGACUCGCUUUCAAUUUCUUAAUUUCUCAUUUUCCUCUUAUAUUACUGUACUAAUGUUAACCACGUACACUUAUUUUUUUUUUAGUUUAAUUUUGAUAGAUUGUGUUGAUUUAAACAUAUUAAUAUUUUCAACCAAAUAAAAAUCAUUUUAGUAGAUACGGCUUUUUAAAUAAUUAUUAAAAAUAUUAACUAUUUAUCCUAAAUGGCACAUUUUAAUUAAAAAAAAUCCGGUGUUGUAAGUGUUUUAUUAAUUUGUUUUGGCAUUAUUAAAGCAACUUUUUUUUUAUUUGUUGGCAUUUUGAGUACGUACUUAGGCUACCUCCUAUAUGAAAGUGAUUGAGUUGUUUUUGCUUAUUAAAUGCCAUGCUUAAUAAGAACCUUUUAUGAAAGUUUGUGGUUAUUUUGAUUAAAUUAUAUCACAAUAAUAUUUAUAAAACAGAUAAAAGUUAAUGUCGAUGAAUGUAAGAGUGUCAAGUUACUUGUGGAGUCUAUUUAAUAAAAUUUUAAAGUUGUUGGUUUUGGUGAUAAAAGUUACAUAAUGUAAAAGGUAAGAAAUAAGUUAUAUAUAUAAAGGGUGAGACUACUUAAGAUGUGAAAAAGGUUGAGAGAAAAAAAAUAGAUGUUGAGUUGGAAAAGCUCAUGAUUUACUUCUUUGAAAAUAGAAAAAUAUAUAAAUAAUUAUAAUCGGAUUGAUGAUUAUUUAAAUAAAAUCUAAAAAUUGUGUUUGUGUUUUAUAAGAGAGAAUUCAAAUCCUCAAAGUACUUAUAAGCAUACAGCUACUUUUUCUUUCCUGUCAAUACUUUUUUUUUCUAUUCUUCUGUUUUUUAGUUCUUAUAUAUUAGUUUCUUCUCUCUAUAAAAUAAGGUGGAACUAGAUUGAUGUUUUUUCUAAAUCCCUAAACUUUUUUUCUUUCCUAUUUUGACGAGGUUUGUAAUUUUUGAAUAAUUUCCUUGUUACCAUUUUAUUUAAAGUUUUUGGCUGACAUUUUUCCUUUUAAAACUUGAAGCUUGUGUUGUUGAACCACUUUUAAAAAGAAGAAAAAUUAAUUACAGGUUUUAAGUGUUGUUUGUAUUGUUCUCCAAUUAAAAUUGGAGUUUAAUUUAAUCUACAUAUUUUUUUUUAGUACAAAUCUUGAGAUAAAUUUCAAUUCUAAUAACAGAACAUGACAAACAGCAUGUUAAGAACUAUAUUUAAAUUUUGUCCAAUCAAAAAACCCUUUUCUUGCUUAAUGAUGGAGCUAUAUAUUGUUCUACAUAUUUCAAGUUUCUUAUUCCAUUAUAGUACUACAUUGUUUAUUGAGAGAAGAAAUAUAUAGCACUAUAUAUAUUGUUAACUAAUUAUGAGCUAAAUUUUAAAAAGUGUAGAAUAUAUAACUUGUAGUCACCCUUGCGUGGUUCAAUCUUCAUCACUCCAUGCUCUGCAACUUGAAUCAAGAAACUGGUGAUUGGUGAAUGUUCAUCACUCUAAGCCCAAUCUGACAAACCUAGCUACGUGAUAAACUCACUCCAGCACGUGCUAAGGGAAGGAAGGUACUAUCCACAUUUGCAAGGUAACCUCUAAUGUGGACCCUGCAACUGAGUUUUGUACAUUUAGGACUCGCAGAGCCGGGGUACUUGGUCAGAUAAAAUGUGAGAGUAGUUCUCCAACAGCUGCACAAAGUAAAUUAUUGCUUGCUAUGCAACUUGUAGAUUUACUUGCUAUGCAACUUGUAGAUACAAUGCAGUAAUAUUACGAUAAGAACAAGGCCAAAAUGACAAAUAAUACUCCAAUCAGUUAAUAAUGUGAAGAACGUUACCUUUUUCAGAGUCCAAUGCAUCAUCAAUAUCACCAACCAACACAGAUGCAGAUCCCACAUGAGCAUGGCUGCAUGGCUCCUGCAUGCAUCAUACCACCUGUCACUUAGAAUGCAGCAUCGUGACAGUUGAACCCACCGUUACCCAUGCAACUACUUGGAUAGCAAACAAAAUUAAUUCUACCUUAUAAAAUCAUGGUCAAACAAUGAAAAAGUAGAAGCAAUCAUUUGUUGCUUCACCUUCACCAUGAAUAUAUUCAAAACACCCUAUUAAUUCCCCCUUGACCAUUAUUCCCAACGGAUUCAGUUAUGUGUAGGAGUUAGCUUGUAAGUUGUAACUAGAAAUGUACGUGUAAACCAUCUUGUAUAUAUGCCAUACCAGUACUGAUUUCAACUGACUGAAUGAAUAUACAACUUUUCUCUCCAAAUUUGUUAAUCAUAUUCACCUAAUAUGAGAAGAGGAGAGGGCUUGUGAGGAGCCCCAUUCAGAACUUGCACACGUAACUCCUAGUUGAAAUUUUAAAGUGAAAAUGCUAUCCAAUGAGAGAGUUUUAUAUGUUCUUUUAUUGAAUGCAAAUAAUAUCUGAAGAUGAAUGGGAUCCUUCACUAUAAUUGUACAUCAAUCUGUAUUGAAAACAUGGAAACAACACACAAUAAACUAAUAAAGUGUCCAAAAUGCACAACUACUGUGUCAAAGUAUGCUAAACUCUGUAUCUAUCCCAUCAAUAUUUUAAACCUAUAUUUCAGCUUUGCAACAUCAUAAUAGCAAUUCAAAUUUCCUCCCCUAAACACAAUUUUCAUUUUCAUCACACUCAGAAGGUCUUCACCAAAAAAGGACUCUGCUUCUACAUUCAUUUGUCAAUAUAUACAAGAAAUUCUUACGUGCUUCCAAAGCUAGAAUUUUCUCUUGAUUUAUACUAUUGAAUGUGUAUCACAUCAACAAGGUGGCCAUCACUAUCUGAGUCAAAUGCAUUAGUAGUGCUAUAUCUGAUGUGGUACACGUUUAUAUUAGAAAUACAGAGUAAGCGAUUUUCCUGGCACUUGUAGCACCUGAGAAUUUCUCUAGUCAAAAUAAGAGCAAACUGGAUAUAACUGAUUUUUCUUCAGAUCCAGCCUUUCCCUAUUUAAAUUGUUCAUGGUUUCUCUUGAGCUCAUCAGAGCUAGAAAUCAGAUUUUUGGAUGCAAUGGAUUUCAUCACCCAAUAACAACAUAAAAUUGAUCAAUUAAACCAUUAUAAGAGCCAUGAUUCUUGAAUUUCUGAUACGAAACGCUACACUACAUACUACUGCUAAGGAACUAAGAAGGAAACUAAUGGAGAUAAUUGUUCUGAUUGAUUCUUCAUUCCACUUUAUUUACAUAUUUAUACUAAUAUGCUAAUAGAAUGCAAUUUGUUGUAACAGAAUUAUCACCAUCAACGAUUCUUCAUUCCACUUUAUUUACAUAUUUAUACUAAUAUGCUAAUAGAAUGCAAUUUGUUGUAACAGAAUUAUCACCAUCAACAAACUAGUGGAAUGUUGUAACUAAUUAAUGAAGAUUUCUGCAACCAUUUAGUGCCUUUGUGCAUUUUGGCGCUCAAACGAAGUCCUGUAGGUAAGUGGCUUCUGUAUUGUGACCUGUGUGGUAUUCUACUGAAUUGCUAUCAAUUUCAAUCAUACCAACCAACGUAGCAUGUGAGACGUAAAGUGUAUAUGUUUGGUUUUUUCUCUUGCCCCCAUAAGAAUUUAGAUAUAGGAUUAAUUGUUAACAAUAAAUUUGCAGUUCACUUGUGCACAUGCUGCUUCAUUAUAGGUAGCGCUAAACCUCAAGUUUCAGGUAAAAAACGUGACAUGCAAUCCUCCUUUACAACAAGCAAGUGACAAAACACAAACUAAACAAACAAAGUAGUCAUUUCUAUAUAACUUACAAAACAAAACAUUAUUAUCAUAAAUAAAACUCAAACAAGAGUCCGAUUUUCUAAUCUGUACUCCAAUGUGCGCGAUUAGUUGUCUCCACACUCUAUGCACUAACAACAGUACUAACUUCAUCCCCUUCUCGCAUUAAUAAUAUAAGGAAGCGGAUCAAAAUGUGGGAACCACUUAAUAUUAUGAGAAACUAGCAUGAUCUCACAAGGAUGUUAUCACAAUCCUCGGGAUGGAAACUCCUGCCAAUUACACAUUUGGGCAAUGUAAAUCACCCGCAUAGAAGGACUAUAGCUUAUUACAAGAUAUGAACAAAGACAAGAUAAAAUGCGAAUUAGAAGAUACAUAUGCCAACUAUGCUUUGCUCAUUCGGUAUCUCGCUUGAAACUAGAUUCAGCAUUCUUCUCCUUCGUGCCAUCAUCUACUAUUUUAGUUUCAGCAAGACCAUCCACUAUUUUAGUUUCAGCAAGAUCAUCUCUCUCGCCCUCAGUUGCAUUGACUUCAAGAGUGUUAGACUUUUGGGGAAGCUUUCGAUCCAGAUUCUGAGCAGCUUCAGAUUCUUCAUUUUCGGGUACUUCAUUGGGGUUUUGAACAGCUUUGGCAUCAUGCUUGUCAGUGUCAGCAUUUUGAGGUUGUUGUGCCCCAGAACUUUGAGCAGCAUCUAACUCCUCAUAUUUAGAAACAAUCUGCUGCAGCUCGUCAUUGAGAUAUAAAGCCUCAAAAAGUGUUGCUUCAUCGUUUGUAGUGCUUUCCACUAUCCCCUUGAUGAUAGAGAGAGAUUGCUUGCACUUAUCCAACAAGCUCACGGUUAAAUCUUCCUACAGCCACACAAAAUUAUUGCAAAUUCCAUCAUCAAACAACUAUUCUGUCAGCAAUAUAGAGAAGAAAAUAAAGGGCAAAUACUUCUUCUAUAAACACUUACAAGAAAAGAAACUACAAAACAGAGUAGAUGAACCUUCUGCCAUAAGUUAAAAUCAACUUAUGCAUCUCAACUUUUGGAUAAGUUAAAUGAGAAUUUAUUCUACAGAAGUUGGAACGCAAAAGUUGAUUUUAACUUGUCAGAGAAGUUUAAUAUAUCUUAACUUUUUAUUUUCUUCUUCUCCUACAAGUACUUAUUGAAAAGUCUGUCCGAACAAGGCCAUAUAUAGCAAUUAUCUAACAGUAGUAGAUGGAAAGCAUGGGGAAAAAAAAAAAGAGGAAAAAGAAAGACUGGAUGCAUACAAAAAAACAUCAUGAUGAAGUAGUAUACAAAACACCAAUUUAUUAUUCGGGUAAUGUUGAUUUUCUCUAACAUCAAGAUGUUUACCUUCAAAGUUUUAGGCUCUGCAUCAGAAUUCAAUAUGCUAGAGAGCAAUUCGAGACUGUUUCGAGCAACCACAAGAUGCUCUUUCCUCUCUUCAACUGAUAUGUGUUGGUAAUUAGAAGAGAAAGCUGCUGGAUCAUCAAUAUCAUGUAGUUCAGCUUGAGGAAUUGGGUAUCUUUCAGGGGCAUCUACAUAUGACUCUGAGGCAUACGGAACAUGUGGUGAAUUUCCUCCCGCCAUGUCAACCGGUUCAUCCCUUCCUUUCAAACUCUGCCAUCAAAAAGAUAGGAUGAAGGAUUCAAAUAAAUGUGAAAGAGAAGGAUGCAAGAGAAUCUAUCACAGUAAAAUGUAGAAAUAGAAGGCAUUGCAUAAAGUGCAGAAAAUAAGUGAGAACAUGAAGCCCAAUACAAUUACAUUUCAAAAUCAAUAUUCUGUACAAGAUAAAAAUCCCCAGCGUCACCUGAGAAAUGAGUAUACCCCAUUUUAAUCAAUACUCCCUGAAUAUGCUGGGCGUAUUUAUAGCAGUCCCUGAAUUAGAAAAAUAUCAAAUAAAUUCCUAAAAUUUAAAAAAUUUAUUCGACAUUUAUCUAAUUUCAAGGACUAGUACGAUAGUGUCUCACAAAUUCAGGUACUAAAAUAGGAUUUACUAUGGGAGAAAGCUUCUUCUUUUUUUUUUUUUUUUGUCCAGACCACAGGUAUCAAGACAAGAGUAACAAACAAGUAAUCCAGUUAUGGCAAUAUCCUCAAUCAGUAAAAAUAAAUAAAUAAACAGACCAUAUAAGUUUGACGAAAGACGGGAAGAUAAGCGAGAUCCUCGGACUCGCCCCAGGCCCGAAUCAACUGAAAAGCCCGGCUGCGGGUCUGGUGAUGGGCCUGCGGGUUAUCGAUGAGGCGAAUGAUCUCAUCGAGAACCUUCUCGGAAGCGAUUUCGGAGAAGACCUUGUCGCAAUUCAUGGCGCAGGCUUCGAGGAGGUCAAGGCUGAGGGUCUGAACGACGGGGCUCUUGUGAUUGAUCUUUCUCUUGAUGGCCUUAACGACCUCAGAGCCGUUGAACUGGUCGCUGUUGAUCAUGCCACAGAUUCUGAGAUUCAUGCCCCAAUUGGGUUCUUCCAUGGUCUCCAGCGUGGCCUCGUCCACCAUCUUGGACUCCGGCGUCGGCGCCUGAAGCAUCUCCUUCACUUUUCCGCUCACCAUUCGCCCCAUCUGGGCCCCACCGGUCUUCAGCCUCUCACCCAGUUGCGCCCACUUCAACCGCUCCAUCGUGUAAGGAACCCUAACUAGAUCGGGUGAAAUGUGAGGAAAGUAAAAAGCUGAGCUUUGAAGAUUAUAAAGUGAACAAGUGACGAGAGACAAGAGGGGUGUGUGUGGUGGUGUCAAUAUACUGAUCAAUUGCUUGUGACACGUUUUUUUUAUUUUAAAAAAAAAAAAAUCAAUGCCGUAGACUGGGAUUUGUUUGUGGGUGGGAUUUAAUUAAUGAUAAUAAAUUAUGCAUUUAACUCAUUUUCACGUCUUUUUCUGUCUCGCCCUAAAUAUUUUAAUCAUGAGUUGAAUUUGUCACGGUUUCAACUUAAAAAUUUUCACGUCGAAUCUAACCAAUACAAAGAUUGUGUUAGGUGUCUUCUUAAGAAGAUAUUUUUGACAAAUUGAUGUAGGGAUUAAUAUUUUAUUUAUAUAUAUAUGUCUGAUUUUUAUGUAAUCUUCUUAUAUAAGCAAGACUUAUUUUAAAAAAUAUAGGUAUUUUUGUAUUAAAUGAUUUGUCUUUUGACAUAUAAUAAAUAAAAAUUCUAAAAUAAGUUAAUAUAAUAAAGAAAUUGAGUUAUUAUGUAAUAAAAUAUGUAUUGAUGUUAGAAAUGGGACUCUUAUUAUUAUUUAAGUUUAUUUAAUUUUUUUUUAUAAAUGACUAUAAAUUAUCAAAACAGAUUUAUAAGUUUUCAAUUAUUCAUCACAUGUCCAAAAUAUUUUAUCAAAGAAAAUAUAAAUAAAAUCAAUUUAAUAUAAUGAAAUUGAUAAAUCAUUGAUCAAUUAAGUUAAAUGAACUUAAUUUUUUUAUAGCAACUUUACAUCAUUAAUAUAUGCAAUAACAUAAUGUAUAAUUAAUACAGGAUAUUAUAUAUAUGUAAAAAAAUACGUGAUGAAUUAUAUUUUGAAGUUUAAAAAAAUGAAAUUUUUUGUUGUAAUAUGUUUUUGAUAUGAAAAAUAUCUGAUUAAUUUAAAAUAAUAAAUCAUUAUUAAAGAGUACACAUAUAAAAAAUAAUAUACUAAUAAAUAUCAAAAAAGUAGAUAAGCAAUUCAUAAUAGAAAAUAGAAAAAAUAACUUCCCUUAAAUUUGAAAGACUUUUCGAUAAAUAACAUAUCAAGUCAUAUUUAAAUUAUCUCAGUUAUUAAUAAAAAUAUUUCGGUUAAUAGGUUUUCAUUAAAAAAGAUAUGAAAUAUUUUAUUAUUAACAAAAGUAUUUUCAUUAAUAGGUUUUCAUUGAUAUAUCUUCAUUACCAAAAUAAUUUUUUGUCAAUCAUAUUUUUAGGUUAAAAUAUAUUUUCCGUCUCUAUAAAUAUCAAAAAAUCCAAAAUUCAUCCCUAUAAAAUUGAAAUGUGUGUCUUUUUUUGGUUUGGAAUUAAGCUUUGGUGAAUAUGAGCCUACAUGGUUUAAAACUUAAAUUAUAAGCUAAAAUAUAUUUUUCAUCCCUAUAAAUAUCAAAAGGUUCAAAUCCAUCUUUAUAAAAUUUUGAGUCUUUUUUUCAUCCUUGAAAAAUUGAAAUUUAUUAUUUUUGGUCGGAAGUAGGUUCAGAUUUACUCAGUUUGAUCGACGACAGUGAUUUAUGGGGGUUAAAAUCACCACAAAAUGUAAAAAGAAAAACCCACACAUUUGUAAAUCUCUCCUCCCUAACUUUCUUCAUCUUCUUUGUCCACCAAGCUAAUAUGAGAGAGAUGAAUUUGAGAGUUUGUUGACAAUGUUUGAUUAUGAUAGAACACUUGAAUUGAUAUUUAUAGUGUUAAGUUCGAGAAUGAAGGUGUUAGGCUUUUGGAAGGAAGAAAAAUUUAAAAAAAUUAUUUAUUUAAAUUCGAAGAAGAUAAAGAAAGUUAGAGAAUAAUGAGUUUAAGAAAUAAAAACUUAUAAAUUUGUGUAAUUUUUUUUUUCUGGAUUUUGUGAUUAUUUUUAUUCCCAAAUUUCACUUUUUUGAGAACCAAAAAAAACUCAAUUUUACAAGAAUGAAUUCUAAACAUUUCAAUAUUUAUAAAGAUAAAAAAAUAUAUUUUAGCAUAUAAUUUAAGUUUUAAAAAAUUCUCAAAUUCGUCUUAGAUCCAGACCAAAAAAUAACAUAUUUAAAUUUUAUAAGGAUGAAAAAUAUAUCAUAAAAAUUACACGGAUUUCAAAUUUUCUAAUAUGUAUAAGAACGAAAAAUAUAUUUUAAUAUAUUUUUAUUAAUAUAAUAAUUUUAUUUUAUCAUUAUACUAUAAAGAUACAAUCAAAUUUGUUUAUUUAAACGUAUAUUAUCCAUUAAUACCAUGCCAUUUAUAAUUAUAUUUGUAUACUUAAAUUUUAAAUUUAUUAAUGAUUUUAAUUAUGGUGGAUUAAGACAAAACAUCAAAAAAUAAUUAAAAAAAUGUAAAACAAAAUAAAUACAACAUCCAAAACAAAUUUUCCAAAAAAAAAACAUAUAAAACGGAUUAAAAUCUAAAUAAUAUUAAUGAAUAAAAUAUAAUAUUUUACAGAUUCAUAUUACACACCACGUAAAACAUAAUAAAUUUUUUAAAAGAAUAAUCUUAUCUAAUAGACCCAAUAAUUUUUUAAAACAUGAAUAAAUAAAAGAAAAAGAACUAAUGUGUUAUUAACUACUGAUUGAUUGUAAUAUGAACUCAUUGAUCUUUUGCCAUUUGUGUGUUUAAUCAUGUGAUAAAAUAACAAAAAAAGAAUUAAUGAAAAAACUCAAAUGAAUGUAAAAAAAAAAAAACUUUGAACUUUUCUCCCUGCAAGUACGACACCGAAAACUUUGAAUUUUUCUCCCUAUUUGAACGCCUUUAUCACCUCCUCUUCCAUUUCUGUCUCUUGUAAUGAAUAAUUCACACCAAAACUCAAUGAACAUACCAUUGUUAAGUAUGAUCCUAUAAAAAACCAACAACAAACUCAAUUACCGAUAAAAGCACAUGUUUAAAUAGAAUAAGAAUAAUAUAAUAUUAGAAAUUAUUAUUCUCUAUUCAACUUCUAAAACGUGCAUAUUAGAAUAUAGAAAAUUACCUAAUUAUAUGAAUUAAGAGUGUAUUAAAUGUAUUUUAUGAAUUAAAACUGUUAAUUUUUAUUAUUGAUUAAAACUGCUAAUUAAUAUAUCAUUAAUGUAAAUAACUAAUUUCUCUAUUAAUGUGAAAUUACUCUUCUUUAAAAUAAAAAUAUUUUAUUUACUUUUUUUCCCAUACAAUUAUUAAUUUAACUCCCAUUUAUGAGACAAAAUAAUAUUUACAAAAAUGUCCCCAACUCACUUUCUUUUAUAUAUUAUAUAUAUAAAGAUAUGUAAAAAAAAUCUCAUCCUUCUCCUUUUAUAUAUAUAGAUGCUAACUUCUCAUUUUCAGACACAAUUUUUGAAUAUACUUUUUUAUCUAUUAAAGUCUAUUAAAAUAGUAUAUUUUUAUGAAUCUUAUUUUUUAUUUAACUUUUUUUUUUAAUUUUAUAAAUUUAAAUAAAUUUUUACACGUUAGAAAAAAUGUGUAAUGUUUUCAUAUACUAGUAAUCACAACGGAAAAUAACGCUUCAUUUCAUCAACGGAUAAAAGUUUUGUAGAAAUUGAUUUCCUUUGUAUACACUUAUGGUUUAAUUAUAUUUUUGGUUUUGAAAAUUAAGGGUGCAUUUAAUUUUAGUCUCUUAAAUUUAAAAACAAAUAUUUUGGUCUUUUAAAUUUAAAAAGUUACAAUUUUCAUCCCUCAAAGUUUAUUUUGGGUUUUGUUAUGUCCUAGUGUUAGGUAACUUGUUGUGAGCGAGAGGAUGAAGAUGAACGCAUUGGAUUCGAGGUCAAGGCACCUCCUGAAAUAAACUAAGUUCUACGCAAAUGCUUCUCUGAUUUUAUUCAUGUAUUCGAUAUCCUAUUUAUACACUGCCUUUUGUAACAGAUUAUAACAUAUCAGUAACAAACUUUGUAGGCCAAAAUCACACCAAGUCCUUCAAAUAGGUAGGGCGCGCAGUGUUUCUCUUGGGCCUUCCAGCAUGGGCUUCAGGUAAUGUGUUGAUCUCUUCUACGUUCCUGUUGCUGUUGCUGUUGCUGUUGCUGUUGCUAUCAUAACUCAGGUUUAAGAGGGAAGGUGUGUACCUGCAAAAGGCAUUCUAGUUUUCAACCCUGAAGUUGUAAGGUUUGCACUGGUAUAGUGCAGGCAUCAAAGAUGCAUAGAUGAGUGGUUAAAAGUUAAAACCCUUUAUUUGGCAAUGAGUGGUUGAUCCACUGUUUUACAGUUGUACACGUACUUGCUUUUUCUGUAUUUUUUAGCAAUUUAUUCCAACAUUAGCACUUAAAAUACCCUAGUUGUAACUUGUAAGCCUUUUCAUCUAUAGAUUGGUUUAAUGAUGUGAAACAGAGCUAUAAAGUUGAAGGAUGUCAACUUACAUAUAAAGAGCUAAGCGACUUCAUUUAUAAGACUGUCCUGCUGAGAAAGUUGACUUACUUGCACCGGAGUGAAGGAGACCAGGUGGCUUCUACUAGUAUUGGAAAAACAGAAACUCUUCUUGUUCGGAAAUUACCAAUUGCAGAUCCAAAGUAAUCAUACUCAUUGUGCAACAGUUCUUUGGAUUGUAGAAUUGUUAACUGCUAUUGUGAGUUGGCUGAUAUGGUCCAUUUUAUGCUUAGGAUGUGUCAUUCUCCUGAAAUGCAAUAUUUAUUCCUUGCUUUUCAUAUGAAAAAUCUUUAAACAGAUGCUUUUCUCAUCUUGAUUUCAUAUAUUACAUAAUAAUUGAAUCUAGAGUUUAUAACUGUUGAACUCAGAAAAUAAACACAUUGAAUUCUGAAUAAAUCAUAGAAUCUAUCUGUUUUUUUGGCCAAAUUUAAGUGCAAACAUCAACAAACACAAGGUUUCCCCCUAACAAGUAACAAGGAGUUUUCUCCUUCAAAACACCGUAAAUAACAAUUUGACACCUUAACCGCCACAUCCUAAAACAAAACUGCCAAUACAUAAUUGAAACCAACAUAACUGCCUAAUAACUGUCCUAAUGCAGAAUUAACACAAACACAGCUACCUAAUAACUGGCUGUCAAUUUUUUAUUGUAACAAAAGGAUUGAUUUGUGUUAGCAAGUUAGUAUAUUGAUAUCACAUAUAGAUUUGACUGUUUGUAAGUUACUAAAAGUCUCUCAUUUUGAGAAACUCCUACCAUGUCUUAGUUUGAGCACUAGUUUACUAUGAUUUAUCAGUUCUGAAGUUAAAAUUUAAAACAUAAGGUGGUUCUUGCCUAUGAUGAUUUAUAUUUUAAUCGUUGUAAAGCUCCAUUUGAGGCUUUUGGUCUUGCAGAUGUUACUUUUUUAAAAAAUAUAUAUGGUAGGUGGCACCAACAAUGUGAUAAACUUCAUGCUUAUGCCUGUGUUAUUUGUAGAUUUUUUUAAAAUAGGUUUUCUUUUUACAUUUUGUAAUCUGGUCGGUGAUAUGGUCUAUGGAUGGUAUAAUGAGUUCUGAUAAUCCUCCCCUUCCUCUCCCAAAAAAUGUUGUUGACUGACUAUCAGUUUGCAAAUUUAGAAAUCAUUGCUCACUUCUGUUUUUUAUUUUUAUUUUUAGACUUCCACUAAAAUUAGAGAGAUUUUGACUGACGAUUGAAUUUUUCAAAUGGUGUUCAUCAAUCAAUGCAAUCUCAAAUGCUGUGCAUGUUUCUUUGACAGGCAUGUUUUUGUAGGAGAUUUAGUGGUCUUGAAAAACCCUCUGAAGGCAGAUAACUAUCUUGUCAGGCAAUUAACUGUAUUGAAGGUUAUGAAAUGGUAUCAACUGAUGAAAAGGAUGAACCCUUUUUUUCUUGAGAAGGAUCAGUGUUGGGUAGAUGCUGAAAAUAAAAGUUUAAAACCCAAGGUAAGACUGCUCUAUUUUCCUGGUCUCUCUAUAUAUGGAGCAUAUCAAUUGGCAUUAGCAUUUUAUUGCAAGAGAGAAGCUAAUGCUGAUUAUUUAAGAAGUUUUAUAUAGUAAAAUAUCAUGACACCAAGCAAUAAGUUACCAUUGACGUACAAGUAUACAAGGUUACUUGUUGGAAAAUAAAACAACAGCUUUCUGUUUUUAAAAUAAUUAAAAUUAGGCAUGAUUUGGUAAUUUAAUGAUAUUGAAAACCUCUGGAAUUCCAAAUACUAAUGUUUUUCUUUCUCUCUUUUUAGUUUUCUUCCUUUGUCUCUUUAAUUAUAUUUUUUUUCUCUACUAAUAAGGAUAUUAAAUCUGUGUUACUUCUUUACCAAAAACUCUGUUAAACUCAUGGGGUUUUGUGCAUGUGUCGCUCUUACAUGAUUUAUAAAAGGACAACAUGGUGUCAUUUGAUCUAUGUAGCCAAUCCCCACCUAAUGAAAGAAACUUUUGCUGCUGUUGUUAUUUUGUUUCCUCAACAUCUAGCUGCUUUGAAAUUGUGUAGUAUCUGUAAGCUCUAAAGUCUAAGGUGAAUGUCUCCAUAAAGACUAGUCGAUUAUUUGGUCCAGUUAAUAUGACAGACAUUGUAGGCAGAGUCAUAUAUCGCCUGCGAACCUGUGUAGAGACCAUCACUGUGUACGGAACAGGUGAACUAAAUUAGUAAAUUUCUAUCUUAUUUCUUAUGUAAAAUGGUAUGUGGAAGGUUUUUUUUUUUCUUUAAAAAAAAUAUUGAUAUAAUUUACUCCUUUGCCAGUCAUUCCAGCAUGCUAAAGGAUUGGCCCGUGUUGGCAGUGGAACUUGAUGUUGAGGAGAUGUCAAAGAAUCACAAGGCCUAGGCCUGUUUGGUUUACAUUCCUGUCAACCCAAAUGGGAAAACGUGCUUCCCAUGAAUGCACUUUUCUAUCAAGUGAAUCACAACAUAUACUUAUGUCAAAACAAGCGAAUCUCCUGAUCAUCAUUAACUAGAUAGUUUUGUACGUAUCCCCUGUUUGAGGCAGAGCAAUAAUAGGAUGUUACUUUUUUGCAAGAGAAUGUGAUGGUGGUGUUAUCAGUUGUGUGAUUUCUUUAAUUUAUACAUAUUAGAUGUUUGACUUUUUCUUUAAAGCCCAAGGAUAAAUUGCUUGUUUGAUGUAUAAAUAGUAAUAGUAUAUUUUUCUAUAAUAUAUAUCGUUUUGUUAAGCUUAAUAUUUUAUCAAUAUCAAAUAAAAAAAAUUGUACUUCAUAUCUUAAAAGUAAAAAAGCAUGCGAUUCUUUACUUUUUUAAAUUUUGUAGUGUAUGCUUGGGAGAAUUUAUUUUCAACAAAUAAUGGCUUAUAUUUUGGUUUUUUUUAUUAUAAUAAGUUAUAUUAAACUUGGGAGUAUGAGAUAAAGUUGUGUAUGUAUAAAAAGUUGUCUUUGAAUAAGCGUUACUUUUAGUUGAACGUCAAUCUAGUAUAGGAUUCAGUUGAACGUGCAUUAGAAAGUGUCUUAAGUAAAACAAACACACUAGUGUGUGCUUAGAUUGUUGUGUGAGAGGUACCAAAUGUUCAUUUGUGCAUUUCAAUGCACAAAAGACAAGUAACAACUAACAAUACUAUUAGAUUAAAUGUGAGUUAUAUUCAACUGAAUGGUUAUUCAAACACACCUCAAGCGUCUGUUUGGAAUUAGAGACGAAUGGAUGUUUGCCAAAGGAGUCAUUUGUAUCUUUCUUCCAGCAGGUUUGGAGGUGUGUGAAUGGUUUUUAAAACAUGUUUUUAAAUCAUUUAUUGUUGACUAACUAAAAGAUAUUUCUGACUCAACCACUUAGGGAUUAUAGAUAUUUCAUUUGGUUUAAUUUUUUUUAGACUUAAUUGUCCUUAAAAUGGAAAAUUGAGUUAAUUAGAAUGUUUAAAAACUAUAAACUUUUAAAAAUGUAAUUUUUAAAAGAAUAUAUUUUAAAAAAAUGUUUUUGGAAAAGCCAGUUUCAAGAUUUUUUUUAUACUUUUAUUUCUCCCCUUAUUCGAAAACAUAAAAUCUAAAAGAAAAAUGACUGUAAUUUAACUACUUGAAAGGAUUAAAAUGAAUGUUCCACACUUUCACUCGUUUUUUUAGGCUUAAUGAUAAUAACAAAGAAAAAUAAAAGGUUCCUGCCCGAGCGAGAAUUUCAGUUGGUCCCUGAUGAAAAUAAUGAUUCCCGAGAAUGUCCCUUAUAUAUGACUAUGGGACACGACACGGGUAACUAGCAACAAGAAAAAACCUGCGACUGCUAGUGAGUGCAAAUUGAAGCAAAGGUUGCUGCAACCGCCGUUGAGUGAGGGCGGUUGGGUUACGAUGUUGCAAGCAAUGCAUCUGAUGAUGGCCAACACUUACAACGUUGCCGGUGAGCGUCUUUCUCUGUCACCUUCAUCCUUUGAACCAUACCAUAACCCUUCUUCACUCUCUUCUUUCAUUUUCCUCCACUCUAGCCUUUAGGUUUUUUUUUUUUCCUUAUGUUUCUUUUCAGUUUGCCUCCUAUGAUAGCUAGCUUUUGAGACAUGGAUCGUUUUCAGCUUCUUUUUCCGUCAUGAUUGAAAAAAAAUCAAACUGCUGUUCUGUAAAUAACCACUCUGCAAUUAAAUUGUGCCAUUUUACUGAAGCACUAGUAAUAUAUAUCCUGGAUCAUACUCUCUAUCCGCUACUGAGAUAAACUUGAAAUCAUGAUCAUUUGAAUUCCUAAAACAAUUGUGAUGUAUGUAUCAUUGCUCAAUUCAGAGAUUGAUUACUUAGUGCCUUAUCCUAGGUUUCUAUGAUGGAUUGUGUUGCUUUCUGUCAUACAUAAAUAAGGACAAAACUUAGAUGCAGUUCUACAAGUGUUUUUUGUUGAUGUUGUCCAAUUAGAAUUGGAGUUUCACUUCAGUAAUUCGGGUAUAAAAAGGUUUUCAAUAAAUGUCAAAUAGAUUACCAAGGUGGAACUCCAAUCCUGAUUGAAGAACAACAGCAAAAGUACUCAUGGAAUUGCAUCUAAGUUUUGUCCAAUAAAUAUGGCUAUAUGUUUAUUAUAUUUUUUCUGUUCAUUUUAUUUUACUUCUCUCUUUAUGGUUUUUGAAGUGGUUUUGGUCAUACCGUGGGAUGUGGAGUGGCAGAAGGUAGGUUUCUUCCAUGUUUGGGUGUUUCUGGAAGAACAGCUUCUGUGUUUUCUUGCUCCUCUCAGGGUUACCACAGAAUUCAUUCACAUGUCACAAUUAGAGGGCUAAAGUGUUCUUCUAGGGGUGCAUGUGCAUCUUUUGUGUGUGAAGCGAGGAGGAACCCUGAAUCUUUCUCUAGGCAAAACAAGCAUGGAUUUUCCAGAAGCAGGAAGUGGCUCAAUGUAGACAGAGACAGCUUUGAGAACAUUGAAAAAGACAUGUUAUCAUUGAAAAAUGGUUCAUUGGUAUCUCAUUCUAGCACACUAAAAAACCAUGCCAAUGCCAAUGCUGCCCCUAGGCCUAAAGAGAAGGAGAUUAUUACACUGUUUAAGAAGGUUCAGGCUCGGCUAAGAGAGAGAGCUACUACUAUUAAGGAAAUAAAGAAAGUUGAAGCAUCCCAAGCACAGUCUAAAUAGAAUGGUUCUGUUAAUUCUCUCCUCAAGCUACUGAGGAAACACUCAGUUGAGCAAGUAAAGAGAAGUAGUGGUGUUAACAGAGGGGAAAACGAUAGUUUGGACUGGUUGCAAGAUUGUGGUCAAGACAAUGAAAGUCAAAGCACAAAAUUUCCUGAUUUAAAUGGUACUCCUAAUAAUGAGUCUCAAGAAACUAACAUUUCAUUAGUUAUCAGGCCUCCAUCUAAUUUCCAACGACGGUCUUCUUUUUUUCGGUUAAAGUAUCAACCUGUCUCUAACGACGAUAAGGAUGUGAAUGCAGUCCCCUGAGUAAUGUGGUUACAGAGAAAGAUCAGGAUCAAAUCGGCAUCAAGCUUGAUCCUGAGCCAGAGCAUGACUCUGAACUGGAACUUGAUCCAAAGGAUAAGCCCUUGUUCCCCGAAGUGGGGAUUGCGAUUUCACAUGAUGAUGAUUAUCUUGAUUCUGAACAAAUAUAUAAUGAUGAACAUGGGGAGGACCAACAAGUGGAACAACAUGAGGAUUUGAGUACAAUGAAGCUGUCUGAACUAAUGGCACUUGCGAAGUCUCGUGGCCUCAAAGGGUUUUCAAUAAUGAAGAAGAGUGAGCUCAUGGAGUUGCUAACUGGAAGCUGAUUUGGACCAUAAGUUAGAGAAGCAAAAUCAAGGAACAACAGAUUUUACCAAUAUCUGUUUUUUACCUGUGAAUUUAUCUGGUUUAUUUUUUCAUCGUUUUUAAUUUAAUUCCUUCAAAUACUUGAGGGUUUGUGGAUCAUUAAAUAGAAUAACCAUGCUAUUAUUCAGGCCUCGGAGGAUUUUGAAUUUGUAACUGUAUUCCCACGAUGAGAUUUUUGAAUUUUUUUUUACUGAUUAAAAGUACACCAUUUCAGUAUGAUAAUGCUUCGGGACUAUUAAUCAUUGUUAACCGUAUUGUAUAGCUAUAAUCCUUAUCAGGCCAUUGUUAACCAUUUUGUUUACAUAUCCAGCAAAAAUAAAUAAAUAAAUAAAUGUAGUAAUACUUUUUUUUUUAUCAAUUUUUAUUUUUUGAAAAUAAUUAUAUUCCUUAAACAAAAACGAACAUUGGAUCUGAAAGCUAUAUAGCUUAGCAAAACAGGACCGAACGGACUACAUGGGUAGCAAAAUAUUUAUGACAAAAGGGAUCUAUAUAUGCUAUUCAUAAUCCCUUUUUGCUCUUCACACUCUCCAUUUUCUAUUUUUUGUUUUUUGAUAUUCCUAAAAUAUCACUAUUCCCUCUCACUUUCCUACCCUCACUUUUCAUAUAUAUUACAGAAAUUAGUCUCUCUAAUAUAGUUAUGUUUUAAUAAAUUAUUAUAUUACGAAAAUUAAUUUCCAUAAAAUGUUUUUUGUCAAUUUUUUUAACAGAAAAAUAGGUAGGCAACACAAAAAGCAAAAAAGUGGGGUGUAAAUGACACAAACCCAACAAACAAGGCCGAAACUAUUUCUGAGUAGUUUAUUUUAACAAAGCUCUCUUUUCCCCUGCAUCCCAAAAAUCUCAACCUACAUCCCUUUUCACCCCCUCAUAGUGGAAAGAUUAAUUGGAAUGAAGGUUUUACAUUUCAAAUUACCUAAAAGAUUGUUAGGGUGAAAGAAAAAUAAAUUAGAAAAGCUCACUUACAAAAAAGAUGAUUAAUUAAAAUUAGGAGCUCAUAGUUUUAACUUCCCACUUUGUUUUCCUUCGUUUAAAAAAAGUUGUCCUUCAUCGCCAAAAAAAAAAGAUGUUUUCCUUCUUUUAGGAGACAACAUCACGUUUGGCUUGCCUGCAUAGUGCUUAUGCUUGCUUCCAAUAUAAACAUUUUCCUUAUCACCACUUAAUAUAGCAGUCACCAAGUGCCGCUAAAUAGAAAAGGGAAUAGAAUAUUCACAAUUCACAUGCAAGGGGUCCCCAAUUUGAAAGUUUAGCCGAAGAAGCUUGUGAGUUGGUGGCCGCUGAUUCAGUAACUUGGACAUUAAUUUCUUUAGUUUUUAAUGUGUGUUGUUUUAUCAAAUUUAAUCACUCACAUGGGGGAAGGAAGAGAUGGGGAAACAAAAUCCCUCUAUUAUGCAAACCAUGACGUAUACGGCAAACAAGAUAAGCAAUAGUUAAUAUGUAAUCCAAUCUAAGGCGAGCAAGGAAGAUCUCAUUUGUUUAGCUUGAUACCGAUUGACUUUGAGCUUUUUGAGGGAUAAUGAGGGGAUACAAUUUUAACCCAAAAAAGAAGGGUAUAGCAAAAGCAAAAGAAAAUACGUAUCACACAUCUUUAAAAAUCACAUCUCGUAUCUAGAGUAGGUGGUUCAAUCAAAACGUAAUUAUGUAAAAAUCACGAAGAAAAUGUAUUGAUAACUUUGAGUGUUUUUUUCUCUUAGUCAACACUCUUGCUUAUUGAAAAAAAUAAAGGCUUAUAAAUUAUAGGAGGGGUUGAAAUCUCAUGUCGUCUAAUUCUUUUUUUAUUUUUAUCAACAAAUAAAAAAUAUAUAGAUGUAUAGGAUAUAAAGGGUGUCCAAAACCCAAGCGAGAAUGACCAAUAUCUGAAUCACAUAACACUUUAACAUUAUUUAUUGGAUAGCGAGAAUAAUCAAUAUCUGAAUCACAUGAUAUUUCAACAUUGUUUAUUGGAUAAUAAAAUGAUUACCACAUCAGUUUAGUAUAAUGAUACAGUUAAAAUAUUUUUUUUAUUGGUAAAUAUUAAUUUUUAUUAUAAUACUAAUAGAAGAUUUAAACUUAUAACUUCUCUUUAUUCUUCUUGCUUCAACCCUUAAACCUUUCUUCAUAAUCAUCAAAUCAAUCUUAUAACUUUUAUAUGACUAAAAUAAAGUAUAACUGAAGCGCAAACCUUACCUUAUAAGCCAAUUUUAUAAGGUUUUACAAUCAUAACUCAUAAUUCUAAUAUAGUAUUAGAGUCUAUUCUAAUGAGUAUCAUUAGACAUUCUAUGUUACUUGCUAUCGAACUACUAUUAGACCUGUAUAAGUCUAGUUUAACAAAUUUUAUGAUUGACAUGUCUAAUUCUCGAUAAGAGAAAUUGUGUUGGAAAUCAUACAUCAAUAAUGAUGAGACAAAAAAUAAUAUAUAUACAUGAGUCAGAUGUCUAGUUACUCAUUAAAUAAUUAGUGGAUUAAGUGUUCAUUUAACUAUGAGUUAUAUGUUUUUAAAAUUAAAAAAUUUAAAAAUAGUUUGUGUGUGCUAAGGAAAAUAAUUUUAUCAUUAAUAAUAAUUCUAUUCAAUUGAAAGAGUGUUUAUCGUGAAAAAUAUAUGUAUUCUUAAAAAAAAAAUGUAAGAAUGAUAUAAAAUCCAAUAUAUAAAGUACAUUAUAAUUCUUCCAAGAGUAUGGACUUUGGUGUGACUUUAUGAGGAUGAUAUAACAAAAUAACAAAUAGAUAAAGCUGCUGUACAUCAAUGGUUAUAAUGAAAGGAAUGAUUAUUUACAGCUAUGGGUAAGAUAUACGAAAGAAAAAAGGAAGUCUACGAUUAUUACAGCUAUGACAAUAAAUAAAGCUCGUAAAAACAAAACAAAAGUCCAAGAAUAACCAACGGGUCUAAUUAAGUUGACAUGUAUGACUUUAAUUAAGUUCAUAAACAUUUACUAUGUGCAUAGCGAACAAAGAAAUUGUGUAGCUGAUCACGACGACUGAUACAUAAUACAAUAUUGUUUUGACUUUGGAUAAAAAAAAACAGAUAUGAUACAAGUAGGUUAAUAUCCAAGAAGUGCUACGUACUUUCCAAAUCUUUCUUUGGUAUAGUGUGACAGUGAUGUAAUGAAAAAGGAAGAGAUAAAUAAAAAGAAAAUAAGGUAAAAACGAAAUAGAAGAAAAACAUGAGCGAUAUGUUUAUAACAAUUAGCCCAUUAGUAUAUAUAAAUUGCUGUUAAAAACCCAUUAGUAUAAGUCUUGGAUAAAAAAUCUUAAUUGCAUAGAGCCACUUUGUCCACAAUUUUAAUAAAGUAGUUAUGUAAAUAUCAAACUUUAUUAGCAGUUUUUUCCACGACUUUGACGGUCUUCACAAUUACUACUCAUUGUACUCAAUGUUUCAAAACCACAAUGCUUAUGGUUGGCACUUCCUAAGAAUUUAAUGAGUGAUAGAAACCUUGACUUGGAGUUGGAGCUGGCUAAGCACUGCCUAAGAAUUUAACGUUCUCUAACAGAAUUGAUAUGAAUCAAAUGCAACACAAAAGUUCUCAAGACACAAUAUGAGAAUCAUUAGAAGAUAUAAGGUUAAUUUUGUGGUUAAAAAAAGUAAAAAAAAAAAGAGAAAAAAAUGUUGUAAAUUCAAAUGUCGUAACUAAUAUUUUUAACAAAAUUAAUAAAUUAAUAUUUAUGGAUAAAAAAAUAUUAUGAGUUAUUUUGCCUUAAUUCAAAGCAUAGUGGUUAAAUAAAUCGGAGCGGAACAUAGUCAAGAAAGUUGUUUACGUGGGCCUGUCAAUCUGAUUCAUCUAAUUCAAAGCAAAAGAAAUGGCAUCUUAUUAACAUUGGCAAAUCUUGAAAAUGAUCAAUUGAAGGUUACUGACAGUACUACAAUGACACCCCAUUUGUGAUUUGUGGAGAAAAAGAAAAAUUCAUGUCAUGGAAUGGUGUUGGUGUUGGCUCACAUGCUUACCACAAAUGUCACAGGCACAGCUGAAUGUUUAAAUGUGCUCACGGAGGGAGGGUCAGAUCUUCUAUUGCUAUUGGCUUGGAUCCAAAGGACGAUUUGGUUAUUGGUACAAUUCAAUAUAGCCAGCAAAGAUUGCCCCAAUGCAAGUCCCCAACUAAGUAAGCUAGCAUUGCCACUCAGCUCAAUGGUACUAUUGAUGUUCCCUAACUGCACUAUUGCAUCAAAUGGAAGAGUGUAGACCGGGUAGUAGCCUAGUCCUUUUUUGCUAAUGAAUUCUGAGUUUUAAUGGCUUACCUAACCCUUUUUUUCUUUUGGUAGACCUAGCUAGCCCUUCUAUCCAUAAGGACUUGGCUGAAUGGCUGGUGAUUUUAGGUAGGUCACGCUAGUCACAUGGUUCAAGUGAUGCAAUGAAAAAUGGAAAAAGAUAAAAAUGAGAUGAAUGAUAAUAAAAUAAAGGUUCAAAUAUAUUUUUCGUUUUUAUAAAAUUAUAUAUUUUUAUAAAAUUAUAAGUGUUAUUUUUUUUUUCUGGAUUAAAGUUAGUAUCCAAAUCCAUAAUGAUGAUUUAUACAUAUAAUCAAUGUAAAUGUAAUAUUUUCUAUAUCAAUUAUGUAUGUAAUCAAUCUAAAUAAACAUUUUUUAUAUCACUUAUAUAUAUAACUAAUGUUAAAAAAUUAUACAUAUAAAUUUAGAUAUAUACGAGGAUAAAAAUUAUCUUUUAGUCUAAAAUAAAUUACGAAUUUAAUUUCUUUAGUAUUAUUAUUUAUCUUUAAGUAUUCCUUAAAAGUAAUGAAAUAAUGCAAGUAAUUGUUAAAAUAUUAAAUAUCUAUUAUUUCAUUCCUUAAGUUGAUAUAUUUUAUUAAAGAUCGUGAACUAAUUCGAAAGAUUUUUCAAUACUUAAAAAAUUACUUAUGAUGAUUUUAAAUACCUAAAGGAUAAUGUAAUUUCUUAGGGACUGCUACCAUAAUCUAGAUACAUAUGAUAUUAUCGUCUUUACUUUUGUAAUUUUUUAAUUCAGAAACUUUUAUUUUAAGAGAAGGUAGUAUUUUGUGGGAGAGAUUAUAGUUUAUUCAAAAGAAUACGAAAUGUAUGUUUUUAAGCACUUAAUAGAUGAAUAAUACUUUAGAUAGAUCUGCCUAUAAAUGCACUAUUCUUGACUUAUUUUAUUUUAUUUUUGGGUGAAGUGCGGAGUGAUAUUCUCUAAUGAUGAAUGGCCUAUAUUACAAAUUAUUUUAUAUGUUGUUUGAAUAUUGGUUUUACAAUAUUUUUCACUCUUUGGUAAGAUAAUAAAUAUCCCUUCCUUCAUAGUGUUGAACUUGUUUCUCCUUACACAAAAAUGACACUAUUGGUUUUACAAUAUUUUUAAUACGACUUUAAAGGAAUUAUUAUGAAAUUAAUAAAUAUAUCAUUUAUGGCAGUUUUUUUUAACAUGUUUAGACAAUUUUUUUAAAUUUUAAUUGUUUCUCUUUCAUAACCAGCUAGUUCCCCUCUUUUUGUCACAGGAAUUGAAACUCAAAUUUAUAAAAAGAAAAUAAUUAAAAUAUCUAUCAAUUAUUAAGAGAAUGACUAUCCAAAAAAUAAUGGCAGUCAAACUAAUUUUUUAUAAAAAAAUUUAUAACUACCUUAAUGACGGGAAAUUAAGACAAGGGCUUAUCUUAAUCAUUCAUGAAGGAAAUUUUCAAAUCAACAAUAAAUUAAUUUGCCCAAACUUUUGUCUCAGUUUAGUUAUGCAAUAUUCAUUUUUAAUUUAAAUAUACUAGUAAUGUAUUUUUUUAUACUAUCAUUAUUUAAAUAUUAAUAUGUAUGAUACAUUUAUUAUUAUUUUUUUCUAUAAUUUAUAAUUUAAAUAUACUAGUAAUGUAAUUUAAACAUUUUUUUAUUGAUUAUCGAUAUAAAGUUUUUUAUACUAAAUAAAAACUAAACUCUAUAAAAAUAAUAUACCGAAAAAACUCUAUAAAUAUAUUACAAAAAUUUUAAAUUUUUUCACAUUAUUUUUUUUAAAAUUUUAAAAAAUUGCUUUUUGAAAGCAAUAGAAUAAGACCUUAAUUCGAUUUGUGUGCUAAGAUUGUUAAGGAUCCACCACCUUAACUAUUUUAUGGUUAUUUUAGGUUGUUCUUUACUUAACUUAAUUUGAUGAAAAAUUUCCCUUUAGUUGUUGGACCCUCUGCGUCAGGCUUUCCGGGUAGCAUUGUUGGGAAACAGAGCUAUGCCAUGAACGAAGGAGAAGAACCCCUUUCACUCACCAUCAUCAUCAUGCUAAUUCACAUAUCAUUUCACUUCUUUUAGACAAUCUCGUGCUUUGAAAUUCAUCACCAUUUCUUUCACCACUCUUCCACUUUCAUAACUAUGCAUAUAGGUAUGUCUGCGAAUGCAAUCAUCCAAACCAAACCUGCUACUUUUCCUCACAAAAUGCCUUCUUUUUUAGUUUUCUUAUAAUUUUCCAUGGCUUUCUCAGGUGCCCUUUUGUAGCUUUUGAUCCAUUGGAGGAUCGUCUAUUGUUUCUACUAUUUUGGGUGGUUUCUGGAUUUUGUGCGGUGUUAUACAUUUUAGAAAUUUCUUAAUAAUUGGGUACCCUUUGCUAUGUUUUUGUUGUCGAGGCUCUAUGUAGAGUUGUUUUUAGAUUGGUCAUAGAAAGAUGUGUUAUUUCUAUCUGUGUUCAUUGGAAAAACUUGGGAGAAGUUGUCAAAGAGAGAGUAAAUUGAAGUACUUUACCAAUAUAUGGUUCUGGCAGAUGAAUAAUUCUGUCUGAAAGUUGAAUUAGUAUCAUUUGAGUUGACGAGUGAGGUUACUGAAACCUCUGAAAACCGAAUUUUCUUUUUCCUUCCAUGGACUUUAACGGUUUGUCUUGCAUGCAUCAUUUUCAUUCAGCAAUUGCAUUUGGUCUCUUUUAGUGAAUCAUUGAGUUCCUCUUUGUAAUUUUGUAUAUUAGACCUGCUAUACUUGCAAGUGAAAUCCAUUUGCCUUUUCAUGCAAUGGUGCAAAAUUAUUUUGUGUUAUCUACUUUAGCACGGUUCAAGUGCUUAUGUGUUAGUCUUUAGAUGCUGAUCUGCGUUUUUGCGUGAACACAAACAUGUGGUACUGUUUUUUAGAAUAUUUUUCAACGUUGGACUCUAGUUUAGUCACUAAUUGUUGUUGGACAAUCAGAAAACUAGACAUUUGGAGCUGGAAAUGAAUGAAAAAUAAGUCAAUUGCAAAAAACUACCAUGUGCUUUGAAACUAAUCAAUUUGAUUCCUUGAACUUAGCAAAUCGUGCAUAAUGGCUCCUUUCAAGGGUUUCCUACACAUGCUCAAACGGUUAUGUGUUUGGUAAGUUUAGGGAGCCAUGUUACUGAGUUUUGAACCACAUGAAAUUUUGCUGCAAUUGUCCUGUAACUAGAGGGGGUUUAUAUUCAUUUUAGCGAAAUAUUAACUUAAUUCCCUAGUGCUUGUUACAAAUGUUCUCUUUUAAUUUAUUUUUUGUUGUUUUUGUAACACUGGUUUGCUAUUAUUUUGGUCUAACUGAAGCAGGUCAAAUAAAUACAUCUUCAGUGAAAUGUCUUGUCAACAGCAUUUCGCGAUUCAUACAUCUAGUUUCUUGCCAAGCAGUGAAACCUAUGCCCCUUCAAAAGAACUGUAAUAAUAUGGUUUGUGUGUUGAAGCAUUUGAAACCAGUGCUCGAUGAUAUUGUGGAUUUCAAAAUCCCUUUCGAUGAAAAUCUGCAUAGAGAAUGUGAAGAAUUGGAUAUGCGGGUUAAUGAAGCUAGGGAGUUCAUUGAAAAAUGGGGCCCGAAGAUGAGCAGGAUUCACAGUGUAAUUACUUACAUUCUUAAUUUCUUGUACUUGAACAAAUAUCAUUAUUCGACAACUGUUAUUGAACUUGUUUAAGAUCCUAAACCUCUAUGUUGGCAUUUGAACAAGGUCAAAAGAAACAAUGCACCACCAAUACCUCCCCCAUCUGUCUUUCUUCUCUGGAAGAGAUUGAUCACAACCUCUUAACUAUUUUGUUGGGAAUAUUCUAUUUUCAGGUUCUUCAAAGUGGGGAAUUGUUGAUCAAGUUACAGAACUCUUCAUAUAAGAUUUGUCACAUGAUAGUUAAAUCACUAAAGGGACCUGCAUCUGUUUUGGUUUCGGGUAAUCUUCAGGUAGGUCCAACGUUAAAAGUAAAUUUUUUCCUUAUCAUUAUUCAUUUGUUCUUCACUUCUCCUAUCCCACUCCCCUGUAAAAGUAAAAGGACAGGGUAAAGAAAGUCAAACUACUUCAUUUGGCAGUAAUAGUUAUUGUCUGUUUUGUGGGUGCCUUGCGGCUCAAUAGAAUUAUGGCACUAAUUGCUAGCUACUUUUCAGCAAUAUAUGCAGGAACUUCAGUGUCUUAAGAAGGAACCUGCAAUGAUCUAUAUAGAAGACGCAUUGAGAAAUCAAAGGGAUAAUAUCGAACCUUGCUAUGAUUCUCUAAAGGAAAUUAUACGGUUACUCAUGAUAUCAAACCAGGAGCUACUGAUAGAAAGUAUUGCUGUGGAAAAGGAAAGGUCAAAUGCUGAAGUCAAUAAAACAAAAGGGGACUUGGAUGAAAUUAACCAAAUUGUGAAUCUUGUGUGCAGUUUACGUGAUUAUGUGAUGAAAUUUGAGCGCCCUGAAGUCAAAAGUGGUGUUUCAAUUCCCCCCUAUUUUCGAUGUCCUUUAUCAUUAGAACUCAUGUCAGAUGCUGUUAUUGUGGCUUCAGGUCAGACAUAUGAAAGGCAAUCCAUUCAAAAGUGGCUUGAUCAUGGGCUAACUGUUUGUCCCAACACUCGCCAGAUACUUGUCCAUACAAAUCUCAUUCCCAAUUAUACUGUUAAAGCUAUGAUAGCAAAUUGGUGUGAGGAAAAUAAUGUCAAACUUCCCAGUAACUCUAAGCAAAGUAAUUCCUCUCAUAUUUCAUCCCCCUCAGAUCAUUUAUUACAUCAAGAUUUAGAUCGUCUGUGUAGCUUUGAGUCUUCAGCUAGUAGCGAUUCCAAUUCAAAUCAAAUUGCAAAUGCAUUUGAGAAACCAAAGGAUGAUAACUCUUUCAGAUCAAGCAGGGAAUCUGAUAGAAGCUGGAAUGGAGAGACAGAAAAGUUUGAGCAACAAUCCCCUGCACCUUCAUGUAGUAACAGCAGAAGUGAAUCAUUUUCAAGUUCUAUUUCUAGUACUGAUUAUGUAUUUCCAGUUUUGAAAGAGGUGUCAGGCAUAUCUAAUAAGCAUCAAAAUGUGGAGUUGUCUAGAGAAAUUACUGAUGGGUGUCCUGCUUCUCCUGCAUAUAAAGAAUCAGUGAUUUAUCCUUGGUUAUCUGGAAAGCAAUUUCAUAGCCCUGGAUCAAAAAUUGGAAGGAUGGAGGAUGAAAAUAAGUAUAAUGAGAGUAACAAUAUUAGUAUUACCAGUCAUUCAAAAGUUGCUUCCCAUCCUGUAGGAUCCAAUGAAUUGAUCACCACAUCCCAUGUCAAUGAGUUGAUUGAAGAUCUCCAGAGUCAAUCGAAUGAAACACAAACUGCUGCUGCAGAACAAUUGAGGCUCUGUACCAAGCAUAACAUGGAGAACCGCAUCAGUGUAGGGCGGUGUGGGGCAAUUAUGCCUUUACUCUCACUGCUAUAUUCAGAAAGGAAGAUAAUACAAGAGCAUGCCGUGACAGCUCUACUGAAUUUGUCAAUUAAUGAAGGCAACAAGGCCUUGAUUAUGGAAGCAGGGGCCAUAGAACCACUUAUCCAUGUUUUGAAGACAGGGAAUGAUGGUGCAAAGGAGAAUUCUGCUGCUGCUCUGUUCAGCCUCUCUGUAAUAGAUAACAAUAAGGCAAAAAUUGGCCGUUCUGGUGCAGUCAAAGCUUUGGUGGGUCUUCUAGCCUCAGGAACUCUUAGGGGAAAGAAGGAUUCUGCCACUGCUUUAUUCAACCUAUCAAUAUUCCAUGAGAAUAAAGCUCGUAUAGUUCAAGCUGGAGCCGUGAAGUUUCUGGUUCUGCUAUUGGACCCUACUGAUAAAAUGGUUGACAAGGCUGUUGCUCUUUUGGCAAACCUGUCAACAAUUGCAGAGGGCCGAAUAGAAAUUGCAAGGGAAGGGGGCAUUCCCUCACUAGUUGAAAUUGUUGAAUCAGGUUCUCUGAGGGGAAAGGAAAAUGCUGCUUCCAUCCUCUUGCAACUAUGUCUUCAUAAUCAAAAGUUUUGUACCCUGGUUCUCCAAGAAGGAGCUGUACCUCCCCUAGUUGCAUUAUCUCAGUCUGGUACUCCAAGAGCUAAGGAAAAGGUAUGGAACUAAUCCUCUUGUCUUUGUCAUCUAUUUUGGUGGUCAAAUUUUUAUUUAGUGUGCAUAUACAAUUGUUUUGCUACAUUUUUAUGAGCUGUGUUACUCUUCUCUAGGAAAAUAGUGUUCAAAUCUUGGUGUUCAAUCAUGGUUACAGAAUCAAUUUGUUGAAACAAUGUGCUAAAAAAUCUGGCAUUCUAAUCUAUGUUCUGCAGUGCAUUCUUCCCCCAGCCUUGCCCCCAAAAACAGUGAAGAAGUAAGUUUUGACCCUUUUGUUUGGGAUUGUUGUUGAGAUAUUUUCCCUUUGAUCUGAUAUUUAUCAAGUAGAAAGAUAGGAGAAAGCAUAAUUCAUGCUCAAGAGAAAUAAUAAUUUUCACAAUGGACUUUUUAAGUAACACAAACUUAUGAAAAAGUAUACAAACAUUGAGGGGUGAUUGCAUACAGAGUCUCACAUCAUAAGCAUAAUCUGAAACGUGGAAGAAGUGCUAACAAUAUGUUCGCUUACAUGCAGGCACAACAGCUUCUCAGUCAUUUUCGUAAUCAGCGUGAAGGAGUCAAGGGGAAGGGGAAAUCAUGAAGAUAAGGCAAUUUUGAUCAUUUCAUUGCCCUUUUCACUCUUUCCUCAGUAACUCCCUAAUCUACAUCCACUUGAGGACUUUAGGGCUCCUUUACUCAUUUUUUUAAUUCUUUUUAAAUGUAUCAUUUGUGUUGUAGGCACAAACCUUUUUUUUUGUUUCCUGCAUUAGUAGGGUACCCCCCCACCCCAAUUUGUUUUGUUGGUUUUAAUGGCUUGGUUUCUUUCUAGUAGUGAGAUCUGUUUUGAAGAAAAGGUAAGCUAUUUCUGAAGCUUUAUGCUUUGGCGAGAUGUAAAAACAAAACACUGUUCUGUUGGAGUCAUAAGUCAUAACUGAUGCGGUUGUGAGUCACUGUUGUACAUAUUUGUAAAUAUGGUAUAGAAUCUUGUGAUGUACCAUAAAUUGUUGUACCUCAUUCGGCCAUGUGAGCAUUUUUUUUUUAAUUUAUUCAAUCCUGUUUCAAUCUAUGCUUUCACUUUGACUUGUAUAUAUUAUAAUAUUACUGACCUCACCCGUUCAGAGGUAUACAAAGUUGAUUACAUUCUGAGAGCUUCGAGUUCAAUCCAGGACCUUGUUGGCUAGCAUCAGGUCAUGCAUGUCUUGUUUGUUAAACAAGUAAUGCUCAAAAUUUAAGCUCAUCCAGAAAAUGAUUUAGAAAUGGUGCAUGGUACUAAGGGGUCUAACUCCGUUGAACAUAGUGUGUGAAUUGUUGAAACUCCUUUGAUAUAUACCAAAAAAAAAGACAUGAUGUAUGGCUAUUACUUAUUUUAUAUUGUUACAAUGUGUCUAUUUGAGAAUAAUUUGUCCUUGGGGAUGGUUACAUUAUCAUUAUACGGUUGAUAUUUGUCAAAUACUGGUGAAUAGAAUUUUAUAUGAUCAUGUGGUUCAAGGGUACAUAAUUUCUCCCUAAGACAGGUGCAACUAAUGCACCCAGGUUGGAAUUUGGUGAAAUGGGUCAUGCCCAAAGUUAAACUGAAGCAACCAAUUAUUAUUUCCAAAUUUAUGGGCAUAUUGGUUGUAAAAAACGGUGUGAAAACUAAUUGUAUAUGGGAUUUUUUUUUCCUGCACUUCCAUGCUUGAUUCAUGCACUUCCUAUAUUGCUUUCAGCACAUAGAAAGUGCAGGAAGGAAUUUUCCUAUAUAUCUUUGACAUUAUGUUCUACCUAUGUUUAUUUGGGAUCAAUGAUUGGGUCAUGUUCAUGACCAAAAAUUGAUUGGGCUUGUGAUCUUUUUGUUCUGUAGUGUCUUCCAGCCAUCAAUUUAGCAAAAGGAAACAAACAAAAUUGACACGAUCAAUACUCCGUAGUCAGAAGGGGGUAUGGUUCGUGGCCUACUACCACAUGUGUCUAUCAAUAUUCAAGUACUAACUAGGUAAAAAAGACGUACAAAUUUGUCCCAAAAACUUAAAAGCAAUUCAAUGUGUUCUAUCAAUCCUUCCUUAACGAGGGAGAAAGAAAAAAUGUAAUGGUUAUGUACUCUAAUGCAAAAACUUUACUUAAAUGCCACCGUAAAAAGAAAGUAAAAAAGAGGAAAAGAAAAAGCUAUUAUUUUUUUUUGGAAAAGAAAAAGCUAUUAUACCAUUGUCUAAAUCGCUUUGAUAGGAAAUUAAUGUGUCACUUUGCUUUGACGUGCCCAAAGUUUUCUCAGAUCUUAACCUUAUAACCUUAAUAAUCAUUCAGGAAUAUAUUCCAUUUAUUGUCACUUUGAAAAUCUGCAAGAAACACAUGUUGAAGAAAACCUCAGUUGAAAAACACUACAAACACCAGUAUUAUUCUUUGCUUUUCCUCGAGAAAAGAGAAACAUGAAAAUAACGCGGGCAGAUUUGCCUCAUAUGCACGAUGCCCAGACUUUGAUCGUUCAAUUUGGAUGGGAAUUUACCUAAAUUAUUAUGGGCAAUUUGAAAUUACAAAAUACCCAUUCAGUGCACUUGAACUAACUAUGUUUUGCAAGCAAAGAAGGCAUUUGAUGCCGAAAGAAAAGCAUGAUUUCCCUCUAGUCCAAAGUUAGAAAGACAUUCUCUGAUAUAUAGUUGAAAUAUAUUAAAAAUUAUGAAAGUAGAAAUGAGGUUUUUUAAAUAAGAUGUAAGGCAUUAUUUCACCAACAAAAUCUACCAUAAUUAGUAUAAUUAGGAGAUAGUUAAGUCUUUUUAUUUUUUUUAUGAAUAGAAAUUAAACUCAGAUAUUACAAAUUUAUAAUACUUCACAUACAUUCAAUUAAUUGAGCUAGAUUCUCAUAGUCGAGUCUAUAAAACAUGCUGUAAAAAAUUCAAUACUAAAUAAUUUUUAUAAAAUACUUCAUUAAGAGAGAUAAUACACACUUCAUUUAUCUAUAAAAACUACAAAAACAUCAUUUCAUGUGUUUCAAUAAAUUUUAACUAUUAAUAGCGUGUUUUAAAAAAUAUUAAAAAUUGUGUUACUAAUAUUUUUCUAAAGUUUUACAACUAGUAAUUUUGUUGACAUGCAUAAAUAAAUAAACUUCCACUUAGACUAGUUUUUGGUUAGCAAAUAAAAGUGGAAUCCAUUAUCUUUAUACAUAUCAUUUUCAUCUUUUAUUCUCGCCUACUUUCUUUCUUGAAAAUCUUUUGGUACUUCUUCUUCCAAAACAUUUAUCACAUUUAAAGUUUUAAGGUUUCAAUUUUUUAAAAUUAAGCUGAUAAUUGUUUUUUCUUUCUAACUUUAUCUAGCUUUUACUGAUUAUUUGGUUUAAAAAACAUAAGAAAUAAUUAGGCCAUAUUUAAUAUGAUAUUUUUUAUAUGCAAAUUUUAAAAAGUAAUUAAAAACAUUUUCCUAAACAGAAUAUCACUUAAAAGUUUCCUCAUUACGUUUGAUUAAAAGAAAAUAUUUAUCAGUUUGCUUGGAGAGGAGGAGGAAAGUAAAAGUUAAUUAUUAUUAACAUCUUUUAUGCAUGUCGUCCCUGUAAGGCUUUUUACAUUAUUUUUUUUAUGUAGUCCCUUUUUGUCUUAUGAAAUCAAGAGCAAAUUGGAAGUGAGAAAGUGGUGAUGGAAAGCACUGAUCGGAGUAAUGUUAUUGGUGGAGAUGCUUUGCUUCUUUGGUGAAAUUGAAGGUGCCCUAACUGGGAGACAAAAAUGUGCCUUAGCAUGUUUGUAGUUGAAUGCGUAUUUGUGGGUCGAGACUCCAUUGUCACAAAAGUCGUCAAUACAAAAAAUAAUUAAGAAAGAAAAUGAGGAAACAAUGACAGGGGAAGAGUGUGAUAGCAGGGUACAAGGGGGUCACUUGAAUAAAGAGAUGCGUAAAUGUUGUAAAUUUUAUGUUCAAUUCAUGUAAAAAUAAUAAUAAUAAUAACAAAGUUACCAACGUUUAUCCAACAUUCAAAUGACCCGCUUCACAAAUAAUUUACAGAAAAUAUUAAAUUGUUUAAAAUGUAUCCUUUUAAUGUUUUUUAAAUAUAAAAUUAUUUAUUAAACUGUCAUAACUAAUUUUCAUUUAAUAAUUUUUCAAUUAAUAUUAAUGUUAAUUCAUUUGAUCUUUCUUCACUCUUGAGAGAUGAUUGAUCUUUUGUAAGAUUUUUAUUAUUUCUAACAGUAAGACAACUUUUAUUCUAGUAUUAAAAAAGACAAAUAAAAGGUUGAUAGGUAAUGAAAAUUAAAUGAAGGCCAUUUUAUUAUUAAUUAAUUUAAUUAAAAUUUGGGAAUGUUUACAGACCAAUAAAAAGUGAAACAAGAUUUUUGAAGUUUAUUAUUUAAAGUGCUUGCCUAAAAAAUGUAUAUUUCAAUUAAGAUUAGUACUGUCAAAGAUAUAGAUAAAAUAUAGUUGCUAACUAAUAUAGAAAACGAUAAAAUGUGGCUUAUUUUAAACGAAAAUAAAUACUUUAAGUAUUAAAAGCUAAUUAAAUGUUAUUUAUUUAUUGUUAAAAUAAAACAUAAAUAAAUAACAUGUUCCAGGGUUUUAUUUAUUUGGAGAAAUGGAGGUUAAAAGCAAGUGUUUUAUUUACUUUAGGUCCGUAGGAUAGUCGGAAGAGUUUGGGAGGGUGGAAAAGUUGAAGACAGCUUUUUUUUAAGCAAGCUGAAGACAGGUUAGUCAGCACAAAACACAUAUCUUAAGUCCUUUUUUUCUCUUUUAAAUAUAAUCUCUUUAAUUUUAUGUAAAGAAAAAUUCAUUAACUUUUGGAAGAGGAAAAGAAAAGCAUUCGACUAUUUCUCUCCCCCCCAGGCUCUAGCCUCCAAAACCAACCAAUUUUUUUUUUAUUUUAUAAAAAAUGUGUAUUUUGAUUUUUCCCUUCCUUUUUAUUUCUCUCACCAAAUAAUAGAUUAAUAUCUUCAAUAAGUAAGAUAAAAAGUAUUAAUAAAAUAAGAGAAUAGUAUUGCAAAAAGAACAUAUUUUGAAAUUGAAAAUAUUCAAUACUUUUAAUUGUCAUACAAAAAUAUUAAAUGACAAUCAUUUUAAAUAAUAUUAUAAAUGAAGCAAGGUUUUGAAGAUUCCUUUAUCUUUUUGCAGUGAGGUUGCAAGUUGAAAAGCUCAAGGAUCUGCAGCAACUUGAAGAAUUCAUUAAUUAGACAGCAGUUAAAGUGCUUGUUUCUUCCUUAAAGAUCUCUAUUGAUUGCUUAUGGAACAUGAAUCAACCAGCUGUCUAUGAUCUGUAUUAUUGUUUUGUGGGUACAGAACAGCAGGGCUAAGUCGUAUUUGUAGUUAAGUCCCUGAAUCCUUAGUACCAUUCACAUAACUAAGAUUGGGUCCACUCAAGUGCAUUAGCUUUUCUCAUGAAAGCCUUUCCUUAUCUCCAAAUCAAAUCAAAUUAUUAAGCAUUACAACCCUCUUUUACUUCAGUUAAAUCAUUGACAGUUUAUUAUAUAUGUGGUCCACAAACAGUUGGUAUUGAAUUUUAUAUAAUUAUAAUUAUUUUAUUUUUAAUUAAUAUAUAUCUUAGAAGAAUAUUUUUUUUAAAAAAAAUAAAGGCAAUAUAAAUUGUCGUACUUUAAUUGUAAAAAAAUAUUUAUUAAUAAUUAAUUAUGAUUUCUUCCAAUCCUAAUUUUAGACGACUCUACGUGUUAACUCCUGUUGACACAUUUGGUCAAGUCUUUCGACUACAUUAAUUAACUGUGAUUUGAGUUCUAUUUUAGAUUUUUCUUGUUGGCGGAUUAAUGAUAUAUAAAUUUCAUUGUAAAUAUUAGACGAGAUGGGUUAUCUCUAUUUGGCGUUAGAAGGGCAUGCCUUUUCCUAAUAUAUAUAUUUUUUUAGUAAAAAGAAAAAAAGAGAGUUGACUCUAUGUUGAAUAUAUUAUAUACUAAAUUUAAUGUAUUUUGCAAGAUGAAUGACAUUGAAAUUGUUAGAGGAGCGAAUGACAAAAAUGCAUGUCCUUAAGUUGGAGUUGUACUUCAAGUUCCAUCAUGGGUGUACUGCCAAGUGAAGUGAAAACAUGGCCUUCAUUGUGUUCACUGUUUUCUCAACUUACAACAUUUAUGCAAUCCUGCUUCCCCUCCCAAUUAAUAGUGACAGAACAAACGGCCUGAUUACUUCAAUUAUGAAUUAUCAAUGGUUACUUACCACAGUCUAACACCACUAUUAAUAACUUGAAAGCUCAUUGUCACAUCAUUUACCAGCUUUUUUCCUUCACCUGCUACGUACCACCGACACAUAUUCGGGAUUUGAAAACAAUAUAGCAAUAAAAUUAUAAAUAUAAGAUUAAAGUAUCAAAAUUGUUGUGAUUAUUAUUGUCAUGGGUAUGUAUUAUAUCAAAUACUUUUACUGAGUUUUACAUAUAUAUUUAUAUAUUUGCUUAUUUUUUAAUUUCUAUGACAAUAUAAAUGUGAUAUAAUAUUAAUUAAAUGAAUAAUAAUAUUUCAUUAUAUAGUAAUCAAUAAAGUUGACAUAUAAAACAUUAAAUUUGUGUAAUGGAGUUAAUAAAUAUUAUAUAGAUGUAUGUUGUAUUGAAAUUCACUUUUUUGUUAUUUCUUUUUAAGUUAUUCCUUCAAAACGAUAUCAUUUUGAGAGUUAUGUUAAUAUUUUUAUUGCUUGAAAUAUGACAACUGAAAAGUGAAGUCCAUGUUGUAUUAUAUCUCAGUCAUGUCUCAUCUAUGUUGUGAAUUCUAGCAUUAGUGUUGUAUCCAUACAUAUCACUUGUAUGUGUCCGCGCUUUAUAAUUAAGGGAAGAGCUACAUUUAACGUCCUUUCCCCACGUGAGUUUCUCACCUGAGCACUUCUCCAAUCCUCCGUUGCUGCAAAAAAACUGAGAAACACUGCCAAAAAUUCCAAUGGGAAUCAUGGGAUAUAGGUUAAAGAAGAAGGUAUUGUUGGAUCGGAGGCUUUUUUUUAGAUUCCAGUAAUAUGACUAAAAUGAUGUAUAUAAGAAAAGAUAAUAAUCUUUACAGUUAGUUUUAGGCCGGAGUUGAGUUAGUUCAAAUCUAAAGUUAAAAUAGUGUCACAAACAUCUAUCAACAUGUAGUUCUUGUUCAAUCUAUUGAGUUAUCUGUCAGUUGAUCAGCUAUUAUCUAUUUUUGUAAAUUUCACAUUCUAUAUGUCUAGUUCUUCAUGUGAGAAAGUAUGAUAAAGAUUUAAUAUUGACUAAUAAUAUAACUAAAAUAGUAUAUAUAAGUAUGAGUAAUCGUGGUCACUUCAUAAACUAGAUAAUUUGUAUUUUAGCUUAGUGCUUAUUUUUCAACUUAUAAAGAUGGGAAACAAGGAGAUUCCAAACAGAGGAUGAAUGUGAUUCCCUAUCUAUAUAGGCUUUUAUGGGCUUGAAGCUAUGCUUUAACAAACAAUAAUCUUGAUAACCACAAACAUACAAAGAAGAGUGAAAUUGGCAAACAUAGAAUAGAUGUUACUGUUUAGUUUCUUAGCAUAUUGAUUAUAUAAUUAUAUUUUGGUAAAAAUAUAUUGAUAUAUUUUUCCAACUCGUAACAGCUUCAUGAAAGAACCCUUUUUCAAUCCAGCCUAGGAUAUUGACCACAAGAACUUCAUCCCUUACUCUCCGGGAAAAUUAUUCAUGCGGGGGUUAUCUCCAAUACUUGUAUUAAAACGCAUUCGUGUUGGUUUUUGUGGCUGUGCAAUGACGACUGGUACCAUUCUAAAUAUUAGUAAUUUGACCAUAGAUUCUCGCCCCAUGUGGACUAAAUUUAAAAGUCCGAGUAACAACAGGCUAUAUGAAGUGUUCUAUGGAAUUGAUUAUCUAUUUUUAUGAUGUGAAAGGCACUUCAUGAAUUGUCAAGUACGCUUGAAAGUUACAUUUACUUUGACAUUAAAUAAAAAUGUAUAUAAUUUUAAAAAAAUAAGAUACCAAUUCUUAUUUCAACUAACUAGAAUGGUCCACCCACUAAAGCUUAUUUGGCGGGUGUGAUUGAGAUAAUCUAUGAUCAUGAAACAUGUGGUGUCCCCUCACAUAAUUUUGAAAUAAUGUUUCUUGCUUGUUUUCCUUUUCACAAGGGCAUAAUAACGUCUUGCAUUUGAAAGAUAAGAAUAUACGUAUAUAAGAAGAAAAAAGAAUUCUGAGUACUGUUGUGAUGGAAACAAGAGAAGGAAGAGGAACCAAUACAAUAUUGAAUGGAAGAAUUUAUAUAAUAACACUAAUAAAAUUGUGUGGAAGGCAAGAAAACAGUCUAAGAUCCUAGUACCGGAUUUUGUCAUAGACAACCCAGCAAGAAUUAAUUAAAAAAAUAAUCGAAGACAAAAAAAUUCCCUCUCAAUAUGGAAUAUUUAAUUGCCCCCACUCGGAUGCCUGUCCUGGAAAAACAAAACCAUUUGGUCAUUAAACUAAGAUGAACAGGAGUACAUGCAAAGUAAAGGGUGUAAAAAUAUUAAAGAAGUGGAGAAAGACAUGGAAAAUGAGAAAGAGGCCAGAGUAUGAAUUAUGAAACUAUAUGAAUAUUGCAAAUGUUUUCAUACAAAUGUGUUAAUAAUUUGUAAUUACAUAUGAGUAAACGCUGCAUAUAAUUACGUGCUUCCCUUCAUUUUUUCGUUAAUUUCACCGAAAUCUAACUGCAACAAUAUGUUUGUCCUCCCAUGAUGUUUAUUUUCUAUUUGAUCUUUAAUAUAGGAAAAUGUGCUGAUUUGAUUGUUAAUGAGUUCGGUGUCAACCUAAUUGAGAUUGUCCUUCUCAAUUUGCAGUAACAUAUAUAACUCUGGAUUUUGAUAAAUAAAUAAAAAAAACAAAAAAAAACUGCAACAAUAUGUUGCAUUCAAUGAAUAGUCUAUUAAGUAUCUAGGAGGGUUCCAUGAUUCAAGUAUACUACAUUAAGCUCAUUUUAGUCAAUAAGAAACUCAAAAUGUAUCAAAUAUGUUUUAAACUUUAUGGUAUAUAUCAACAGCAAAUUUAGAAAUAUAUAUUGACUGUGAAAAUAAUAGCAGAUGGUGGUGAAUGGUGAUACAGUUAAGGGUGACCGUGCUGAUGAAGAUGACAAUCUAUAACAGUACACAGUAGUCCCAGCAAGGAUAAUCCAAUCAACUAGCUAUUGGCUUGUUAGUUGGACUGUUUUGUUUCCUUGUUAAUAAGAAAUCAAAAUGGCGAGGAUGGUCAAGUUUGUUGGCUUAAUAUUAUAAUGAGAACUUGAAAAGGGCUAAAAUCUUUAAACAUUAUAGUAUUCUACCAUUACCAGCUGAACAUACCAGUACAAAUGGGGGGUGGGAGAAGAAAAUAAUUACAAUAUUCCUCACCAUGUAUCUAACAAGAAACCAAGACGAUGAUUUGUAUUCAAUAAAAUCACGUAGACUAUACACAAAUCAACUUUACUACAUGAUUGAAAAUGGAAUAGUUAUGCAUCAAUUAGAUGGACCACAAGACACCAAAAUCAAAACAUCAAUUUAGCACGAUUAAGCUUCUUGCCAUGUAGUAAACCAGCAUACUGCAUGCGUACCUUAGAAUAGAGCCCAACAUAUAUAGGAAGCAUACGUAUAUAUUGAUGACUGUCUACGUGUAUAAAAUAAAUGAAUAAAGCAUUCUUUUUGUUUUAAGCAAAGAAUAAAGAAUUCUUGUGACAGCUAAUCAAACAACACAAAAAAACCAAGUACUUAAAGAAGGCAUUAUUCCUAACAAAACGUCUGAUUUUAAAGCAGUAGCUUGAGAAGCAAAAAUAAAAAGCAAUUUAUUUUAACAGAAAAAGCUAAUUUAAUAUGUUUGUUAUUAUUCAUAUCCCCUUCUAAUAACAUUUGAUCCACUUCAUGAAUAUUCAUAAUUGAUGAUUUAUUAUCUUGUGUGCAUGUGUGCGUGUGUGAAAAAUCUUUUCUCUAAAAGUAGUUUUCAUCAAAUUAAUAUUAUUUUAUGAUUAACUUUAAAUGUUAACAAUUUAAAAACUCUAAUACAUAUCAUUAAGGGUAUGUUUGGAAUCACGCUGAGUAAAAAAAUUCCACUUUUCAAAAUAAAAAUGCCAAAAACAACUAUGUUGUAACUUUAGCCUAAAAGUUUGAUGGCUUUAGAUUCAUCUAUUUUCCAAACACACACUAAUUCUAUAUUUACAGUGUGAUCAAAAUAAUAGAAUCGUCAAAGUGAGCAACCUAACUAGCUUGACCAGCAAGCUAUGUUGUGGAAUGUAGACUAAUUUAAAUUUCUUAUAGGCUACACUUUUAUCAACUUAACUUGAUUGUGUGUGUUAGUCCUAGGAGUACUUUAAAUGAGUUAAAUUAUUUGUAAACUAUUACUCAUUAAAUACUCAAUUCUUUAAUUAAAUAAAUAAGUCCAAACUUUAUAUUAUGCUUGCUUAUUUAAAUGAGUCAAAUCUAAAUUUAACAAGUUCGACAUUAAUAGUAUGUGACAAAUAGUUAUAUAUAUCAUGAAAAAAAUUCAAUUACAUAGAUUUGAUAAAAUCAUACUUCUUGUUCAACACAUAUUUUUAUUUGUAGAUUAUUAUCUACUAUUAAAAUGUUUUUAUCAAAUAUCUAAUUGAUAAAGUUAAGAAUAAUUUAUGGAAAAGUUUCUCAAAAUAAAAAUUAAUUUAAGUUAUAAAAUGAACUAAAUAAGUCAGGUUCAAACAUUAGAUUUUUUUUUAAAAAAAAUGCUAAGUUCAAUCGUUUAGUUAGGCUCAUUUAAAUAAUUGAGUUAAAUUUUAAUCAUCCAUUUUUUCACAAACCAAAUCUAAAUUUUAAUUCUUGACUUAGCUCAACUCGUUUACUUUCUUAGUUGAUCCAUUAGAUGGAACCAAAUUGAUCUGAUUUUUCUCUCUUAAUUAUAUUUAAAUUUUAUAAAAAAAAAAAUAUAAUAGUAGUGAAUCAAAUAGAUAUAGUAGUCUUUAGGCCUGUAUUACAAAGGCCCGACCCGUCUAACCCUCCUUUAGUCGGGUCAAUUAAAACCUAGUAUGUUUCAAGCCUAAUAUUUGACAACUCUACACAAGUGACAUGAAUAACUUUUCUCACCUUUGUUCCUUAAGUCCUUUUUAUUUUAUUUUUUAAAAAAAACUUGAUCAAUUAUGUAAAAAAAAUAAAAUUAAAUAAUCGAUGGCAAUAAUACAAAUCAUAAAAAAUUUCUACGUACUCUAUUUUAAAGUUAAAAAAGAAUUGCUUGUUUUAUCAAUAUAAUAAGUUCGUAUCUUUUUUUAUCUUCUCCGCUAGAUAACAUAUCAAAGUUCAGAAUAAUAUUAACUCCCCACAUUUAGGUCGCCUUCAUAAUAACAAAACUUUUUAAUAAGUUUUUUUCGUCUUCUUUUUACUUCCUUUUGAAAAUGUAAUCAACUAGUUUUUUAGCCAUCUUAUAUGGACGUAUAUCAAAAGGUGCAUCUUAGUUGGUUGAGCAAGACUAAUGAAUGUUGUAAAUCAUGUGUGGUAGUAUGUUUAAUUUCUAUGGAUCAUAAAAAAUAUUAAAAAGAUAAGACUAAAAUACAAGUCCUUUUAAUUUUUAUUUGUGACAUUUUAUCUUUCACUUUUAAAAAAUUUGUAAUUUUAGUUUUUUUUAUUUUUUAAUUGAGAUAUUUUAUCUCCUACUUUUAAAAUAUUUGUAAUUUUAGUCUCCUUAGUUAAUUUCAAACUUAUUGACAAUUUCUAUGAAUGAUUAAUGUAUUUAAUAACAACAAAAUAGUUUAAAAUUUAAUUGUUAAAUUAUUUAAUUAUUAUACAAUAUUGGGUCUUGCUAACAAAUACUCUUAGAACAUUGGUUAAGAAAAAAAAAAUUCUUGUGUAAAUUAUGAAAGAACAUAAAAAAAAUAUCAUGAACAAUACAAUUUUUUAUCUCUCAAUAAAAAUAUUUCUAUUUUAAAUUCCUUCAUUAAUAUCCUUAAUUAGGACACUGGUCAGCAUAUGCUACAAUAUUUAAUAUUAAAUUAUUUGUUUCACAAGAUAAGAUAAAAAUGAGUAUAAAACUUUUGUCUCAUAUUAUAUAAUUAUAUUGUUGAGUAUAAUGAAGUAAAAAAAAUUAAAAUAUUUAACUAAUAUAUGGAUUUUUUUUUUAAAAGUUACAGGUUCUAUAUGAGUACGUAAUUUUUUAUUCUUCACAUUAUGGUUGUUUAAUAGAGAUAUUAUAUAUGUCAAAAUAAGAAAACAAAAUUGAACCGUGAAAAUAUAUACUUUAAAUCUUAAAAUAUCAGAGAUUUAAUAGAGGAAAUAAAUUUUCUUUUGUAGGUAAUUAUGAUGUGUUUCUACUUAUUAUAUUAUAAUAAUAAAAAGAAAAUAUUAUUCUUUUCUGUGACAACCGAUGCAAUUUUAAUUAGCUCAAUAGAUUAUAUAAAUUAUCAAAACUCUCACCACUAAACUGACCAAGUGCGUAGGAAGUAUUGUUAUUUGCACACCAAUAAAUGCAUGUCAUUUUAUAGAAAAAAUAGAAAAUAAGAGAAAAAAAUUAAAAGUAAUUCCUUUGCCUAUAAAAAAAUGUCUAAUGAGUGUGAAAUUGGAAUAUAAAAAUCAGUUUUGCAUUAUAUAUUUCACUUUUUUAAUAUUAGAGUUAAAAAAUUAAUCUGUAUUCAAAACGUCAUAAACACUGAAGAGAGCUAAGUCAUUUAAGUAGUCUAUUGAGUAUCUCAUACUUCAUGUGAAACUUAGGCAUCCCGUAAUAUCAAACUCUUCAUCAUAUAUAACAUCACUCUUAUGAGUUAAUAUCCUGAUAGCUAACACUACGACGCUUUACUCGAUCGGUCUGAUUAAUUAACCUUAUUGUAGGUAAUCAUUUCCAAGAAACCAACAAUAAAAUUUGAUACUAAUCGAUAAGCAUCCAAACAUCUGGUGAACUCUUCCUUAAAAUUAAGCUAGGAAUCAAGGAGGAGAACUAACCCAUUUAAGUGCUUCAUCAAACAUUCCACAAAACUCAACGUGAGACUUAAAGAUGGGCAUAAUACCUAGAUCCAUGUUAAAAUAUUUGAAAAGUAAGUAGAAUGACUUAUUUUCAUUUAACUAAUAAAAAAUAAUUUUAAAAUAUAUAAAAACUAAUUAAAAAAAAUAUAUAAAAUAAUUUUAAAAUCAUUCUUGAAAAUAAUUUUUGUCAAUUGAAAACUUUUUUUUAAAUCAGUUCAAUUUUUAUCAAUAAAUAUUAAUAGUAUUUAUUAGAAUAUUCGAAGCUAUUAUUAUCUCUGGUCACUCCUCCCUUCAAUCGUUGAAACUCUCUUCCAAACCAUCGUAUUAACUUUAAAUCUCUUUUAAAUUAGUUCUAUAAAUAUACUAAGAGUGUUUGGAUAAGAAUUUCAAAUACUUCAAUUGGAAUUUUUUUAUUUUUAAAAUUUUGUAUUUGGAUAAAAAAAAUUAAAAUUGUCAGGAUGAAAGAAAAUGGAAUGCAAAGAGAAGAGAAUAUAUGGUUGGUGUGCUUCUAAAAAUAAGAAUACUGAUACGGCAUGGGAAGUCGUAGGGGAAUCGGGAUACGGCGACAUACAUCACCUCACCCGACCACAACAUUCCGUCAGCGAUCCAAGGAAUGAUCGAGAUCCUCCGCGCCGGCAAGCACCUCCGUCACGUGAUGGAUAGCGACAACUGCUCCCAUGACUGGCAGGUGCAAUUCUAUGUGUCCCCCUACGCCCGCACCCGAUCGACGCUCGCAAGUUCAGACGGCGUUUCUUGAAGAAGAUGAUCAUCGACGUGAGGGAAGAGUCACGAGUUUGAGAACAAGAUUUUGGAAACUUUUAGGUUGAAGAAGAGAGAAGGAAGGUUAUAAAAGAAAUACAUAAAUAUUUUGAAAAGCUUUUCUAUCAAUAAGAGAAUUUCAAUUUAUCACAUUUUAAAAGAAAAUUAAAAUUUCACAUUUUUAGUUGUUUAAAAUUCCAAAAAUUUAAAUUCUUCAUAAGAAAAACAUUUAAACAAUAAAUUUUAGAUUAAAAAAAUUUAAAUUCUCUAAUAAAUUACUUUUCUCGAUUAAAAUUUUGUAUCCAAACGCACUUUAAGUGCAAAUUUAAUUGUAAAACAAAAUAAUUGAGCCAAGCACAUGUAACUAUUGUUGGAAUGCAUUUUUGUGGCCUAAAAAACGUGAAUUUUGUGUCAACCAAAUAGGAUAUGCUUGAUUCAUAGUAAAAUAGCUCGACUUUAAAUUUAAAAUAUUUUUUUAUACAAAAAUUCCUUUGAAUUUUAUUUCUUUUUUUUUUCAUUUUCAUAAAAUGAGGGUGGGAAGUGGACAAAGGUGGUGUCAGAAAUUAAAGUUUCAUCUUUCUCUUAAGAGAAAGAAAAGGUUAAAAAGGAUAAACUUGUAGGGGCAUUUGGGUCAAUUCAAAAGGAACUGUCAUUCAAGGCUACAGGGUCAAGAAACAGAAUCAUGUUAUUCCCUCAUUUUUACCCCUUCAAACUUUUUCCUGUCUCCAUCGAAACCUACUGUCCAACCUUUCUUUCCUAUUUCCUCCAAAGCCCUAGUCCCCUCCCUUCCUCUCUUUCUCUCUCCUUCCUAACAUACAGCACUGCACAAACACAAGGAAGAAUAUUAAUACGACCAUUAACAAGCGACGAUGAAAAUUUGAGUUUGCUCCACCUUUUUAAGGAAAAAACCCAAUCCCUUAUCAAUCUCGGAAAUCAAAGCUACUAAAAAAAACACCAACAGUUACCCUUGUGAGAGAUUUCUAGUAUUGCUCAACAAAUACUCACAACUUUGCUGAAUAGAGCAAACGACGAACUGGCCACUCACUCUCCCAUCAAUCUCAUCACAUUCUCAACAUCAAUAAAAUCUUCUUUUGCUUCACCAUUUCCAGGUACAGUACAUGUGUGUUCCAAUAUUUCUAUCUCCAAUAAAAUUAAAAUAAAAAAGAUAAAAAGCCAUCAAGUCUCCAAGACAAAUCAACAAUUAAUCAGACUUUGUUUCCUUUCCUUCUUUUUUUUUUUAAAAAAAAAAUUAUUUUUUCCCUUUAAGGUUGUUGUUUUCAUUUACAGUAACUUCUAAAAGCAAAAAAAAACAUUAAAAAAAAUUAUUCAAACAAUAGGACAUUUCCUCAACUGUUAUCCAAACUAUAAGUAUAGUAAUUCUUUAUCUCAAUUAACCUUCAUCUCUCUCACACACUCCUCUCACCAGCUCUGGUCACUGUCUUAGGAACCCUAGAACAGCAACCCAGAUAAACUAUUCCAAGACACACAACACACAGAAAGAGAGAAUCAAAACAAUUAAGCCUUGGAUCUGCAUAGCAAAGCAAAGAACAAGGGCCAUGGAUUCAAAUAUUCAAGACUUUAUAGACACAUGUAACUCCGACAACACCUGCAACCUCAUCACAAAUAGCAUCACCACCGCCAACUUAACAGCUAGUGCUGCCUCUUCCUCUCCUGCUUCCACCUCCAUCACCAGCAGCAGCCGCUACGAGAACCAGAAGCGCCGUGACUGGAACACCUUCGGUCAAUACCUCAAGAACCACCGUCCCCCUCUCUCCCUCUCCAGGUGCAGCGGUGCACACGUCCUUGAAUUUCUAAGGUACACACACACCCUCUUAAUUAGUCUUGCACACCAUGCACCUCUUCUCUCUCUAUAUAUUUUUUAUAAAACCCACAUGUAUCUUUUAUCAGAACCACCAGAUAAUAUCUGGAUGACAGAGCUCUCCUUCUGAUACUUGGAAAGAGAGCCUGUUGUCACUAUCUAUCUGACUCUCGAGUAAAAUUAUUUUCUUUUCAACAUACAUACAUUGGGUCUUUGUUAUGUAUGUAUGAAUUUUUUUUUGUUGUUAUUGUUAUGUGUGUGUAUAGGUACCUGGAUCAAUUUGGGAAGACCAAAGUGCACACACCGAUCUGCCCUUUUUACGGGCACCCGAACCCUCCGGCGCCAUGUCCAUGUCCUCUUAGGCAAGCUUGGGGGAGCCUUGACGCACUCAUAGGGCGUUUGCGUGCAGCUUUUGAGGAAAAUGGAGGGAAGCCAGAGGCAAACCCUUUUGGAGCCCGAGCUGUGAGACUCUACCUUCGUGAGGUUCGUGAUCUGCAGUCCAAAGCCAGAGGAAUUAGCUAUGAGAAGAAGAAAAGAAAGCGUCCACCACCUCAGCAACAACCCAUGCCAAUACCUCAUCACCCUCUUCCUCCUCCAGGUGCAAGUGCAACUCAUUAGAGGAAUUCAAUUCUCACACUCCAUGCCAAAUUCUACCACCUUCCUCUCUCACUCAAUCUUUUUCCUUUGUGUCCAAACUCAAAAAACCUUCAUCUCCAAGUGGGAUCUCUUCUUUUAAUCCCAAUAUGCUUUUAGAGUUAUGAUCUAGCUAAUUUAGUAUCAUGAUAUUUAGGGUUUUUUUAUUUUAUUUUUCUUUGUUAAUUUUUUUAAGUUGGUGAAAGCUGCUAUAUCUCUGGUCCAUAUAGACUGUUUGUCUUUGGAUCCUGUUUGGUCAGGGAGAAGCAAAAGUCUAAAAUUAAAUUCUGGGAUAUAUCAUGCAUCUCUCUGCUUUAAAAGCAGACAGUGCGGUACUGGUAGUAGACUGAUAGUGCGUGGGAAGUACUGAAAAGUGGAAGUGAGACUGUGAGAGAGUGAAUGGAUAUACAUGGAAGCCAUGAUCCUUGUGAUGAGGAAACCAAAAGUAUGGUAUUAUCAUUCAUAGUUCUAUAUAAUAUAUGUACUUUUCCUUUUCUCUAUGUCAAGCUUAGACUUGUUGGGGAUUAAUUAUGUGCCUUACCUUAAUUUAUAUAUAUAUUAUUUUAAUUUUCUGAUUUAAAAGGGUGUUGAAUUUUAUUAUAAUUGCUUGCAAAUUCGAACUUGAUAACUAUAGGUAACAAGUCACUUCCGUACAUGGUGAUGUUGGAUAACAUCUUCGAAUAUUGAUUAUCAUUAUUAUUUUCUUAUACCUAUAAAUGAUUAGUACUCUUUCUUAGCUUCUUUUUUUCCUCGUAGUUGCCACUUAUGUGCUUUACUGUCUCCCCCAAACCCAAAUGUAUUUUGUGUGAAAAACAAUGAUAGUGCUUCUAAAGCUUAAUCAUAGCAACUUCUGUAUGUUUCAAACUGACAAGUUUUAUUCUCUCUCAAAUUCGACUAACGGCUGACUGUUAAGUAAAUCAUUUUGAUUGGUGAUUCUGAUUCAUAUUAUAAAUGCUGUAGUGCUGUCAUUUCAAAUGAAGUGAAAUUAUAAAAGCCAACGAAAAUUAAUGGCAGACGAUGUAAUUAAUUCCUAUAUAUGUGACCAAACCUUUUGUUCAAAAAAAUGACCAAACCUUUAUUAUUAAUUAGCUUAAUAUAUUGUUUAAUUAUGAUCCUAGACCUUAUAUAUGCUUUUCUUCUAUACUACCUUAUACGGACAUAUAUGCCGACUAACAAUUAAUCAAAAUCUCCUUGUAGAUCAUGAUGCAUAUCAUUAAUUCACAAGUUUUCAUUUGAAUUAGGUCAUGUCUGCCAAAUGGUUGGUGCCGAUAUAAAAAAUGUUUGUCAAAUGUCGAAAUGAGAGCUAUAGGCUCUUUAAUCUGCACUCGCUUGAAAAGAUAAUAUGAUAUGGUGGCAAGGUAUUUUUUCACCAUAGUAGGAAGUAGCACAGAAAGCCAAAUUAUGCAAACUUGUCUUAAGAGUAAAGAGACUACAAAUAGGUCAGCAAAAAAGAAAAGCAAAAAGUUACUUUGGUAAUUUAUAUAUUUUGAAAAUAAUUAUUUUUUUUGACGAGAAAUUAUUUUUUUAUAUACAAAAAUGAAAAAAAGAAAUUAGAUGAGGAGAAUAAUUGAGAAAUCUGCAUAAUAAGCUUAUAAAUUAGUUUAUUCUAUAUCCAACCUUCAAUACUUUUUUAAUUGUUGAAAUAACUAUAAAAAAUUUCUACAACUUAUUCAAAUUAAACCAGAUGUUCUAAAAGAGUCAGUAAGAAAUUCUCAGAAUCAAUUUGGCCGACAAAUCUGUCUGUAAAAAUUUUGGGUCAUCCAUUCCUUUUGUAUUAUGUUAUUAUUAUGGCUCAAAAAGAAGAAAUUUCCCAAUCCCUCUGAUCAUGAAGAGGCGCCUAUUGUACCUCCAUUUGCUAAAGCGAAACCCAAUAAGACAUUGGAUAUAUGCUGGAAAGAUAAGCUAAGCUUCUUAUUUUCCCUUUUGAAGUGAUUCUAGUGGGGCAUAUAUGAGACUACCACUUCAAGACAUAGAGGAUCUAUUCUUUCCUCUAAUGAUUUAGGUAUAAAUUUCAUAAGUACUUUAGGCUGUAUAUGAGGGUCAUACGAUUAGAGCACUAUAUAGCCUUAUGAUGCCAUUUUUAAAAUAAUCAGUGGUUAAUGCAGUUAACAUCGUACUAAAUUAAGAAGUAGGCAUUUGAUAUUUUUAUUUUUAUUUUUUGUGGUGUAAAGGAUUUUGAAUGUCAAAAUAUUUUUAUGAUAUAAUACAAAAGUAUAAUGAAAAAUAUGAUUUUAAUAUUUCCCAAUUAGUAAAUCAUUAAUUUUUAAUCUAGAUCACAUGUAUUUUUUAACGGAGAUAACUUAAGUAAAAAAUGAUUAUUAUGGAUAAGAAUUUUAUUUCUUCUAAAUUUUUAAAAUAGAUGCAUACUAAAGUACGUCAUCUUAUUCUAAUUUUUAAUAAUAAAAAAAUGGAGAAGAUGAACUAUUGUGUAAUGGUGGAAGUUUUUGUUGCAUUCACUUAUGAUGGCAAUAGAAUCCAUGUUCAAUGUUCAAUUCACUAUUCGUGAAAAAAAAAUGGACCAAUGACAAUUAAGUAUCAUGGAUGAAAUUAGUUUUAGUGGAUUAAAAAAAUUAUCAUGAUUUUUGACCUAAGACAAAAGUAAAAUAUAAAGUAUUUAUCGAUUCUAUCAAUAAUUAAUAUUGGUUGAAAAAAUUGACCAAAAACUUUCAAAAAAUAUUCUUUUAGUUAUGUUUGUUCAUUCACAAAAAUUCGAAUAUGAAACCUUAUUUAUAAAUUGUCUAUUUAAGAUUGUAAGAAAUCAACCUACCCAAAUAACUAAAACAGAUGGGAAAAUACUAAUUAAGGAAUUAAAUUUGGGAACAUGUAAUUUUUGAGCAAAUAUUUAAAAAUUUAAUAUUCUAAUAAUUUAAAAUAUAAUUAUUAGUAAAUUACAUUAUUGCUCCAUUCAUAUUAAAAAAAUAUUUUUUAAAUAAGAAUACGAAUCUUCAUUUAUUGAGUUCAAAUAAUAAUUUUAAGGAAUUUUUAAUUCAAAUAAUAAUAAUAAUAAUAAUAAUAAUAAUAAUAAUAAUAAUUUACUGAUCAUUUCUAUAUUUUUUUUAGUCAUGCCUAUGAAUAUUCUAAAAGUAUUAGUUAAAGAAUUAUCAAUAGAAUAAAUUUUUUAUUAAAAAUAUAAUAGAGAUGUAUUGAUGACAUUAAAUAUUAUAAUUUUCAUAAAAAUCAUUUUUAAUCCUUUAAUUAAUGUGAAGAAAUGUCUAAUUUAAUUAGCAUGAAUUUGACAAUAUAUUUGAGUUAUCUUUUAAUUUUUUUUAACGAACUGACAAAAUUGUUUGAUGGUUUGAUAAAUAUUGUUUGACGGUUUGAUAAAUAUUUUUUUGAUAGAUUUUAGUAUUUUUUUGAAAUAUUAUUUGAAGUAACAUAAAACAUACUUCUAACUUUUAGUUUUUUAGUUUUUUUAUAUUUAUUUUCUUUUUAUCCUUGAAUAGUUAUUACAUUUUCCUUUUAAUUUCUUCUAUUUAAGAUAAUUUUUUUUUUUUACAUAUGAUAGGAUUUUCUCAUUUUUAUAUUUUUAUUAUAUAUGAUAUUGAUAGUGAUAUAUAACGAGUUUAUGUAGUUUUUUUUAUUUGGAUAUUAUAUAAAUAAAAAGCUACAAUUGCUUAAAAUUAAUUUAAUACUAAAACUAUAAAUACUACAAAAUAUAUAUUUAUCAAGAAAAUUAAAUUAAAAUUUGUAUAAAAAUAAUACAUAAAUAUAUUCAUUUAUAUAAUUUUAUAUUUUUCAGUCAUUUUAAUAAAUAAUUUUUUCAAAUAUAUGAUUUAAUAAAUAAUUUUUUUAACUUUCAACCAUCAAUUAAUUUUUAACUUCCCUCUAAUUUUUCAGCUUUAAAUUAAAUUUUCAAUUAAUUUUCAUCAUAGCCUUAAUUUAUAAUACUAAACUUAUACUAACUUUCUAACCUUAAUCACCACAGCUAUAAAAUUGAAAGGUUCAUUACUUUUUAAAUAAAAUAAAUUUCGUUGUCAUCAAAAGAGUUACAAUGACCCAACCAACUGCUAUCCACAACUUUUGCCAUAAAAAAUUGUCUUUUUCUUUUAUUUUCAGAACACAGCCCACGUUGUUAUAGAUAUGUUCUAAAAUACUUACAGGAAAAACUGCAUAAUAUCCUAACUAAGCAUAAAAAAUAGACCAAAUACUAUGCAAUUCUACCGUUUAGCAACAAGACUGAUUAUAAAGAGAUGAGAUCCUAUUCCCUUUGAUUAAGUUCUGCCGGAUAAGAAUUUUCUCCCAAAAAAAUGUCCCAUGCAAAUGCAAUUAACUAUUAAGUGUGUAGAGUGGUAUGUAUUUAUAUAUGUGGGCGCGUGCACAAAUGAUGUGGGUGUUUAAAAAAUCAUUACAUCUUUGAAAAGGAGAUAGGAGAUUAAUUAAAAGGGUAUAAAAAAAUAUGAAAAUAUAGAUAUAUGUAAUUUUUAUUAGCAUAUGGAAAAAUGUGCAGCAUAACUGUCUAGUUAUAGAUAACUUAUGUUUAUAUAUAUAUAUAUAUAUAUACACUUCCAUGGAAUUUAAGUUUUUAUAAGAAAAAUUAAAUGAGUGAUAGACGACAAUAUUAAAAUCCGUUGGUGGAAAGGUUUUAUGGGCAAAAUUGUACAUGCACAUGUACAUAAUUAGCAGCACCUAAUUCAAUUUAGUUUGAUUUGAUUGUAGUUAUCAUUGAUCAUUGAUAUCAUAUUAUUUCUUUAGAGAGAAUUGAUAUCAUAUUCUUAUUGACCUUUACAUAAAAAAAUUAUUCUUAUUGCACGACAUAAAAUUUUCAAGGAACCUACCUUUUCACGCAAUAAAUGUACAAUUAAACCCUACGAAUCUUUUUGAAUGACAUGGGUUUUGUAACUAUGAACAUGAUCUUAACUUAAGCUUUGUUAUUCAUAAAUCGUUAAUGAAAUCUUUGACCACAAUCAGAGAAGAGAUUGGUACGUAUUUCCCUCUUACCAAUCAAUGACAUGGGGUUUGUCAGUAUGCUAAAAACAGGUAGUGUUGUGUGCUCUACGCUGAUUAAAAAAAAAAGUGUUGUGUGGCCAUGAAAGAAUAAUUGCGUAGAAUCAGUACACAUAUAUGAUCAUUUGAAUGGAAGUCACUGAUAAAGUGAAUUGCACGUAUGUUCAAUCGGAACUGUACGUAAGAACCCAUUUUUUUCUAACAAAAUGGGGCGUUGCCGGUAGAUAAUAUCUUAAUUACUUGGCCACUUUCUCUAAAAAAUAGUGUACAGUUGCACAGUUGGUUUUUGUUUUUCGGCAUAUAAUGUGAAUUUAAUCAAUCAAACUACUGUAAAGUUUGUGAUUCUAUAUCAUUUUAUUAUUAUUAUUAUAAUUAUUAUUAUCAUUGGUGCUUACUUGUCACUCAAUUAUUAGUAUUUUUUUCAGAUAUAUAUGUCAUCUUUUUAUCAAGUAAUUGAACAGGGAAAGGACGGGUAAAAACAUAUAUUAAUUUUUAUCACCUAAUUUAUUGAUCACGAUUACCUCUACAAAGCCUAUGCGUGUGCAUUGCGUAAAUUCAGAAACCUCGCUGCUCAUUCAUCCAUUUACUUAUCGUCCUAUAUAUCUUCUAGAUCUACAUCUUGUAGAACUAAUAAAACUCAAGUCCCCAACCAAAUUUGUGACUACCUGCAACACUAAUUUACAACAAGGUCUUGUUAAUUUGAGACACCAUUGCCGGAUUCUAUAGUGAGAUCAAGCUACAAUGGUGAGUAGUAAUUAAUAUUAAUUUCCUACAAACUGCAAAAAAAUCAAAUGUCAAACCAAUCGAAAUAAACCUGAAAAAUUUAGAGCUAUUGUUUACUCGCGGAGUUGAGUUUAAAGAGGUGAAGAGUGGACAGAAAGAUUGGUCCUCUUUGUCAUAAAUAAGCUACAUCAUCUACAUGCAGCUAGAAGGUAGAAGGUGGCCAUAUUGCUGCACAACUCUGAAACCACGGUACGUGAGAACCGUUUUUAAUUUAUCUAACGCUAACAGAAGUAAAAAUUAAAAUUAAAAAUGGCUUUUUUUACCAACAGGGUGCAAUUUUUUUUUUUUUGGCUUCUUUUCAAAUGGGGACAGUUUUUACAUUAUUUCCCAAAGAAGGUAAAUUGAUGUAAUGAUGUAACACCUGUUUAUACUUUACUUUCUUUUAACUAAAGUUAUAAAUAAUUUUAUGAUUUUAGUGUAAUUUUCUUUUUUACAAUUUUAAAGUUGUAAGUUUUUUUUUUAUGACUUUAAAGUCGUAAGAUUUUUUUUAAAAAUGAAUUAUGACUUUAAAGUUGUAAUUCUUUUUUUUUAUGUUAUUUUUUUGUUUAUAUUUUAUUUUCUUUUUAAUUUUCUAAAAAUUGUAAAAAAAAUUAUUUAAUUAAUUAUUAAAUACAUAUUUAUAAUUAUAUUUGUUAUUAGUUUUAUUUAAUAUGUUAUUUAUUUUUUAUGGUUUUAUUUAAUAUGCUAUUUAUUUUUUUAAUGUUAUUUAUUUAAAAUAUAUUAUAUUUUUUUACUUAAUAUAUUUUGUAUAUUUAAAAUUUAGAUAAUCUUUUAAUAAUGUUAUUGAAAUUUAUCUUUUUAAAUGAAAUAUAAAAGUAACUUAAUGACAUUUUAUUUUUUUUAAUAUUUAUUUUAUUUUAAAUACUUAAAUUUUAAAAAGUAAAAUUUGAAACCAAAUAUUAAAAAAAAAUUAUUACUAAUAUUAAGUUAUAAUUUAUGAUGCUGAAUUAUUUAUUUUGUGUAAAAGAAUUUACUAUUAACAACAUGUAAUAAUUUAAUAAUAGAAGUAGUUGUUAAAUUAAAAACAACAUAAUACAUUAAUAUAAAAUGAACAAUACAGAUUAAAGAGAAAUAUAAAAAAUAGAAACUAUAUUGUUCAUUUUGUAGGAGUGAAUGACAUAAUCGUAGUAACUGUUUAUACAAAUAAGUAGAUAACUAAUAUAAUUUUUACUUUUUAUGUUUCUCUUUUAAGUUGUAUUGUUCAUUUUAUAUUAAUGUAUUAUGUUGUUUUUAACUUAACAACUACUCUUAUUACUAAAUUAUUACAUAUUGUUAAUAGUAAAUUCCUAUUUACACAAAAUAAAUAUUUCAACAUCAUAAAUUAUAACUUAAUAUUAGUAAUAAAUUUUUUAAUAUUUGGUUUCAAAUUUUAGUUUUUAAAAUAAAAAAAUUCAAAAAAAUAUAUUAAAUGUCAUUAAGUUACUUUUAUAUUUCAUUUAAAAUAAAUAAAUUUCAAUAAAAUUAUUAAAAUAUUAUCUAAAUUUUAAAUAUACAAAAUAUAUUAAAUAAAACAAUAUUAAAAAGAUAUAUUAUAUUUUAAAUAAAAAAAUUUAAAAAACAUAUAACAUGUUAAAUAAAACCAUAAAAAAUAAACAACAUAUUAAAUAAAACUAAUAACAAGUAAAACUAUAAAUAUUUAUUUAAUAAUUAAAUAAAUAAAAUUGUUUACAAUUUUUAAAAAAUUGAAAACAAAACAAAAUAUAAACAAAAAAAAUAACGUGAAAAAAAAGAAUUACAACUUUGAAGUCGUAAUCCACUAAAAGAAAUCUUACUACUUCCAAGUCGUAAAAAAAAAAAACUUAUGACUUUGAAGUUGUAAAAAAAAAGUUAUACUGAAGUCAUAAAAUUAUACAUGACUCAAGUUAAAAAAAUUAAAGUUGUAAUAGGUGUUAUAACACGAAUGAAUCUGGGUUUUUUAACUACGGGUCUAGCAAACGAAAAAUUGAAAUAGAACCCAAUCCAAUAAGAUCUCCCCCUCUCAAGAUCGGGCGUGAAGGUUUCCUUUCAUCCAACUAAAAUAGUUAUAUAUAUAUAUAUACACAAAGGAUUUUCACUUUAAAAUUUUAUAUCUAUAAAAAAUCUCUAAUCUAAAAGAAAAAGAUUUACUCUUUACUCAAAUUCUCAAAAAUACCAAUCAACAUUUCAAAGAUGUAUAUUCUCAAUUAAAACAGAAAAGAAAUGAAAAAUAAAGUUUUUGAGUAAUUUACUCCCCUUCGAAUGCCCAAUCUUUAAAAAUUAAUCAAUAAAAUUAAUUAAUUAAUUAAAAAAAUAACUCAGAAGUUGUAUCACCUUCUUUCGACUUAUUUCCAUUUAAGAAAUAAUUUAAAAACUACCUUCAUUUGGAAAAAAGCGAAAAAAUUUUUGUAUAAAAUCCAAUAAAAAUCGUCCACACUAAAUUGAACUGAUUUUGAAUGGUUUAAAAAGUUAUAUUUUUAGAAAAGGUAAAAUGAACGGUUUAUAAAGUUUCAUCAAAUUUAUGUUUUAAUUGAUCUUUUAUAACCUUUGUUGAGAUAAAUUCAAUGUUGCAUACAAAUUCUUUCUUUUUUUUUAUAACAGCAUACAGUUUUGUUUGGAUCAUUUAACUUAGAGCAAUGAUAUCAAUACAUAUAUAGUCAUACACAGAAAUCUCUUGCCUCAUGAUGUGACAACAAGGAUGAGAUGAAAAGUUAGUUGGUCUGAUGGUUGGCUGGAGUUACUCAGGUACGUCAUCGUGUGGAUAGUACUUGCUUUUUAAAAGUUUAAAAUCAUCGAGACUAAAGUUGAAUAUAUAGUGCAUAAUGCAUAAUGCAUAUUCUUAGACCUCACAUUCUCUCAUAUUAUCAUGAUAUGGUAUAGUAGCUGUGCAAAAUAUAAUUAUAAUCUAAUAAUAGAAUUUCACAAAAAAAAUUAUAUGUGUAUAUUCUAUUAUUAACAUUUAAAUAUAUUUUUAUUUUAUAAAUUUAUUGUAUUUUGUCUUAGUUCCUAAUAAUAUUUUUGGGUUUUAAUUAAAAUUUUUUUUUAUCAAUUCUAAAAAAAUAAAAAUAAAUGAUGAGUGAAAAAUAAAAUGUGGAAUUAUCAUUGUCAUGUCUUUAAAACUAUGGAUUCUCGGGUGGAAAAGGAAGCCCCAUUGUGAUGUGUAUUGCAGGAUAACAUUUGCAACUCUUUUAGAAAUAUUAUUGUUGUAUAUAUUCGUGAUGAUCUUAAACAAUUUGAUAUAUGUUUUGGUGAUCUUCAUGCUUUGGUAUUAUUUGGAUGAUUUGAACUCCACAACUAAUGUUGAUCAUAUGAUCAUAUUUUAUAACCACAACUUUCACUUGAGAAAAACGCUUUAUCUAGCAAAAUAAGAUGAAAAAAAAAAUAUAUCAAAUGUAUGAAAAAUCCAUAUAGAAAUUUUGUUGUUAAAAUUUUUAAUUAUUUAAGUUUGUUAUUUAAUUAUUUAACUCUUAAGCUAAUUCAUUUAUAUUUUAAAAAAUUAUAACAAUUAUAAUAAUGAAAGAUACGAGUAUAAUUUGAUACACAUUCUCAUCUCAUUUUCACUUAAAAAAUUCGAAUAAUACACAUACUCAUUAUCAAAGCCCGAACAGGUUAAAAUGAUACCCACGGAUACGAGUUUAUUCGUCAUCCCUACUCAUGAAAAUCUCAACUAAGUCAAAAUGACUUAAAACAUGUAUAAAAAAAAAUUCUUGAAGUUAAAUGAAUUAUGUUGAAUUUACAGGUAUUUUGGGAAAUUCAAAAUUUUAAACAAAAUUAUCUAGACAUGAUGUGCAUUUUAUGCAUAAUUAAUUACUUAAUCAAGUAAAAUUCAAAACGUACAAAAGAAAACAUAAGACAUUAAAAAUCUGCCCAAACCCUAUUUAGGGCAAUAAUUUAUACUUAAAACCUUAUUAAGGACUACUGAUAAGUACUAUGCAUACAUAAGUAGUAUACUAAAAUCACAUAGUAAUUAUUUAACUUUUCUCUAUUUCUACUACUUAUUUUGUGUAAGACAAUAAGAAUUUAGCUUCUUUUAAAUUUCAUCCGGAAGAUGCUAAAGUUAAGUAAAUAACCCUAACUUUGGUUGUAUUAUUGUUGAAGAGAGUAACAGAGAAAUAGAAGAACUUUUGAAGAACCAAUGCCUCGUGCUUAGCACGACAACCUCGCUUAGCAAGUUGGAGUCGCUUAGCUUGAAGGAAGUUGCUUAGUGCAAUGAAGCUUCAAUGGAAUACAAUUGUCACAUGCAAGCUCACUAAAUGUACAAACUUGCGGCUUAGCGCGAAUCCACUUGAUCCACUUGCCAUCCAACUGGACAUGCGUGUUCUGCGUGAGCACCGCACUAAGGGCACAAGCGCACUCUGAUUGACCAACAAGGAGGCAUGUUUCCUUAUAAAAGGAAAUGUAUUUAGAAGUAACAAGGGAGCUUAACGACAAAAAAACAUAAGGAGAAGCAUUCUAGUCCAUUGUCGGUGCAAGGAAAAUCCAUUUCUGAAGUUUUGGUCGAUCCUUUUCACUCUAUUCUUCCUCCAUUAAAUCCCCUAUAUUUUUAUCCACCUAUCUGCAAACCCCUCAUGAUAAUGAGAGACUAAAACUCCAUUGUGUUGGGUGCUAUGUAAUCCAAAACUCUCUAUGAUAUAAUGAUUAUGAACUAUCUUUUAAUAUGAUGUUGUUAUUACUAUUCAUCUCUGUGCUUAUUCACAUACUUAUGGUCUGAUCAUCCAUCUUUAUGUAUUGUUUUAGUAUAUGAAUAUUGAGAAAUGUUUGUAUGCUAAGAACAUGGGAAGGUUAUCUAAAGUGAGUCAGAUCUAGGAAUAAAGUGGUCUUCUUUAACCUGUUCAUGCAUCUUUAUUCCUAAUGCAAGUCAUUUAGUAAUCAAUCGCCAAGGAAUUGGGAAUGAUAUUAGGUGAUUUAGAUUCUUUCACUAGAGGGAUCUUGGUUAGAAUAAACUAGUAGAUGCGGGUGAUAAUCAUAUUAAUGUUAAAAGAGAAAAAUUAAUAAAAGAUAACAUCAAGAGAAGUUAUGGAAGCAGAGUCCCCAACAUGUCCACACUCAACCUCACCUUCCGAGCGUUUAUCUUCUCUCAUUACACACUUUGUUAUUAAGUCUCACAUUUAUUUAUGUUAAAUAUUGUUUCUAAUGCACAAAACUCUUUUCCAUUCAUUAAUUGCUUAAUCGGUAGGUAUACACAUAACUCUAAAUACAAGCAUAGUCUCUAUGGAAUUUGAUAAUCGGUCUUACCGUUUUAUACUACUUGUGCAACUUGGUACGCUUGCUAAGGAGACAACAACUACACAUGGAUGUAACUAGACGUUCAAAGACUCACACACACAUAUACACAAUUGUAGAAGACUAGCAGAUGUCACGUAGACUAGACAUCAAGAUUGGAUGCACGGAUUUACAAAGGGUAGUGCCUUUGCAAACCCCACAUUAUGGAGAAAACUACCUCAUACAGAAAUUUUGAUGAAACCAUGGUUGUUCCAUGAUAAUAUUUUAUUGUCCACCAAUUGGUUUUUGGCAUGUGUCAUCUUGACCUAAUGGUCAACGUUGAUAUCACAUUAUGUUAGGGAAUAUUAUUGGCUAAUCGCUUAGUGAUUAGAGAUAUCCACAGAAUUGAGCAUGCCACAUGCAUUGUUAUUAAACAUAUUUUGCAUUGUUUUAUGUUUAUGUUGUUGUGGAUAUAUUUUUAUGAUAUGACAUGUUAUCUUUUUUAAAAAUACUUAUAGCUUGGUUAUUAUUAUAUUUCUUGCUAUUUGUUCGAUUUAUUAUUAUUUGUAUAUUUGAAGUAUGUCAUCAUGCACAUAUUUUUGUUCAUCGUUAUUUUUGUAAGUUUACCCUUCUUAUUUAUUGUGUUUGUGUGAUGAUCUUGAAACUUAUGUUUGUCGGAAUAGGUGACACGAGCUCAAGAGAAUCUACACACCCUCUUCAUUGAGUAUACAUAAAUAUUUGUAGGAAGAAAUGAAGCGAGGCGUGCUAAGUAUAAUAAGUCAACAAGUCUAUUAUGCGAGCAAUGUUAUGUUCGCAAAUAUUCCUAUAAGUGUUCUUACCAUCUCAUUCUAACUCAACCUAUUAGUGGAACUAUGGUUGUUGAUAGAGGAUUUGUGGAGGGCUCCACACUACAUGCCUUAAGAUUGUAUCUGUUGGGAUUAUUAUUACUCGUAUAUUUGAAAUAUGUCAUCACACACAUAUUUAUGUUCAUCGUUGUUUUUGUAAGUUUGCCAUUCUUGUUUGUUGUACUUGUGUGAUGAUCCUGAAUUUGCGCCUGUCAAAACAGGUGACAUGAGCUCAAUAGAAUCUAGACACUCUCUUGAUUGAGUAUGCAUAAAUGUCUGUAGGGAGAAAUAGGGUGUGACAUGUUGACUAUAAUAGCUUACAAGUCUACUAUACAAGCAAUGUUACAUUCUCAAAUAUUCAUGUCAGUGCUCUUACCAUCUCAUUCUCACUUGUCCUAUUAGUGAAAUUAUGGUUGUCGAUAUAUAGAGGAAAAGUGGAGGGUUCCACAAUACAUGCCUCAAGAUUGUUUUGUUUCUUCAUUUGUUCAUGGUGGAUCUCAAUGUCGCUAUGUUUUAUGCACCACCAGCUCGAAGGAGAAAAACCCCUAGAAGGUCUCUCAAUAAUAGUAUGUUGGGUUAGAUGUUUAUGAUUAGGGUAAGGAAAUUUUAUUAAUUAUAGUAGGACCAUUUUUUCUCCCUCUUUAUUAUGUAUUUUGAUUUCUUCUUGGCACACCUUUUCACGAAAACAUGUGUGAGGCUUUUUGCUACUCGGUAUUACAUGUUCUAUAUAUAAUGUUGUAGUGUCAAAUUUUUGUUAUGGACGAUGAUAAUAUUGUUCAAUAAUUUUAAUUGUAGGUAUUCAAAUUCUACUUAUUUAAUUACUUUGCUUAUGUAUGAUGUUAAGUUAUUUCCGCAUUAUGAAAAUUUUGUAUACAAACAAGUCAACUCGUAAUAUACAGGAAUGGUGUUUUCUUAGAAUAAGCAUUUCAACCAAAUUGUUGCUUCAAGAUAUGAUGAUUUGAUUAUAUUCUAAUCAUCAUGGCUACAAUGUAUGUAAAAAAUUAUUCUAUUUCAAUUGAUUGAAAAAAAAAGAAGAUAUUUUCUUUAUCAACAAUAUCUUGUAUUUUUUUAAGUAUCAUCACAUCAUCAUCAUCAUCCUUUGAGUGUAAAAAUAAUUAUUUAUUCAAAGAUAAGUUUGACAUUAAGCAAUGUCCUUUAGGAAUUAGAUCAUACUAGAUUAUAGUUGCCAUUUAUUUUCUUUCAAUCUUUUUUUUUCAUCUUAUAUAUGUAUAACACUUUUUACUUCCUAGUACUAGUAAGGGAAGCAUGCACAUGCUGAUUGAACAUCAAUGACUUGUGUGUGUGUGUGUGUGUGAAUGAAGAAGUACUAGAGGUAGGAGAUAACAAAUCGGGCAAUAGAAGCCAAAAUGAGCAGUAAAGCUGCCCCAAAGUUUACCUUCCCCAUAACUGCGUGAUUUAAGCUAGUGACUGCUAUUUCUGAUGAACUAAAGAAAAGAGUUCCUCCAAUCCAAGGGACUAGCCACUGAACCCUCCGAACUCUGAACCCAUCUCACGUUAUGUACAGUAUUUUACAGAUCCAAGUGCAGAAUUCACCAGCAAUUAUUGCACCACCAUAUUCAACUGCACUCCAACUCAACAUACCCCUUCCCCUCCUAAAAAACAACCAAAGAAGACGUCAACAAGCUAUUCUAUUGCUAUGCAUGUCAAAAUUAUAUACUAUACUAUGCAGUAUGCAUAUAUACAAGGAAGCAUUAAUUACUAUUACAAAUUAAAACGUAUAUAAUUCAUUUUUUUAAAUAUUACAUUACCCCUUUCGUUAAUAAUGUUGGACUCUAAAUAUUAAAAUUUAAAAGUGUAUUUUUUAAAAUUUGAGAAACUAAAAUUCUUUUUUUCAAUUUGAAAAACAAAAAAUAAAUUUACUCCAAAUUUCAGGAAUUAAAAUCAUAAACAAGACAAAGGAAUAAUAUCCUAGAUUUGUUAUAAGAUUGAAAACAUGCGCAAUUUUUUUAAUAUAUAAUUUCAUUUCUUCCGUUUUUCUCUCCUCCCUUUUGAGAUAUCUCUUUUAUCCAAUUCUCCUCUAGUAUGUAUGACACAAUACUCCUCAGCUCCGCAAGAGCCAACUUCUAUCUUUUAACAUAUAAAAUUAGUUAUUGUAUUUUUUUCUAUAAUGAAAACAUAUCUUCUAAUGUAGAAAUGUGAUUCAGAUCAAUUAAAACAUAAUUCUAUAUUAUAUUUAAUAAUUCAAAAACAAUUUGACUGAAAUUAAUUUUAUCUAAUUUUAAACCAAAAAGAUAGUAAAUGUAAAGGUGCAACUAAAUCCCCCUUCUGUCAAACAGUCAAACUUUGACGAAGGAUCUAGGCCGUUCAUCGCUGAUAAUUGGGAUAAUACUGCUCAAUUUUUUACUCUCUUUUUUGAAUUAUAAUUUUAAUUAGACAAGGAAAAAACACUUACCCGAAGUAGGACAUAUGCAACCUUUGACUUUUAGAUCUAAGAAACCCCUUUUACUAUUUUCGAAGCGUUCCAAUAUUUUUGUCUCUGUAAAAUACUACUAUAUAUAUAUAUAUAUACAAAAAUGUCAUAUACAAAGAACUAUUUUAUCUUUUUGAAGGAAGCUGCAAAAUUUUUCAAACACUUUUUUUUUUGGUUUUUGGUACCAGGAUUGCUUUAUAAAGUAUAUAUUUGAUAAACAAAAGAAAAAUUUAUUAACAGGUUACAGACUACAGUUCUUUGUUGUGAUAUUAAUCAUUAAUGAUUCCAAAAUUUGCCGUUAUAUGUAUCUCAUAAAAAUUUACAACAUUGGGCGACUGAAAUUGACUAUAAGAAAAUUAAAAGAGAAAAAAAAACAAACAAACAAAACUUCAGCUUUAAUAUACAGAUAUUUAGUAGGCUCAUGUAUACCUAUAAAACUUUUAGCUUCCGCAUUAAAGUAUUAAUAAAGAAACAUCUAAAACACGUGUUUAUCCUUCGAUAAAGAAAGUUUCUGAAACAAUGAAUUGACUGAAAAAAUUUAGUGCUCAAUUUCCUGGGGACCAAUAUACUUUUCCUCCGCAUUAAUUCCAAUUAAUUACACAAUUUGAAACACCUUUAAAUAGCUUAAUUGCUCGCAAUUUUUUCCAACAUGCUUCCCCAAUUAUUAAGUGUCAUAUGCAUGCUGUAAAAUAUAAAAUUCAGUUCCUUCCUUCCUAAACUUAAAUCUUAAACACUGUUUUACACAUUCAGUCAGUGAUCAAUCUCUCUGCUACCAGCAAUAAAAAGAGAAAAAAAGCUGCUAAGUUUACUUGUUAUGGGCCUCUUAUUUUGAAUUUGGACCUUCUCCAUAGGACUCUAGAGAACAGAUGCAUAAAGAUUACAAGUCCCUUUGUCAAAUGUUUUGCAAAAUUAACAACCUCGUUUAUAAUAUUUUGAUUUAUUCUUAGUAUAAAAUUGAAUUUAUAAUAUCAUUUGCGCAUGAAUUUUGCCACAUCAUAAAAAAUUGACUAUGUUUCAUUAAAAAAAUUGACUAGGUAACAAUUAUUAAAAUGAAAUGCUAUAACAGAAGAGGAAGAUGUGAAUCAUGCAUGCAAACUAGAGGGGGACCAAGCUAGUGAAGCUACCAUCCCCUUUUCCUGCUUGUUAGCAAUAGUUUCAUUCUUUCAAUAAUGGAGUUUGAAAACGACGCUAGAGAAUAAAGAAAUGCCUGCAGAUUGUCAUUUUUGUUUACGUACAAAAAGGGUAACUUUUAUCAAACGCGUGUGUGUUUUGGAGGGAGGACUUUUCCCAUAUCUCUCUUAUAUAUGUAAAGAAGAGUAGCCCCUACGGCCUUAACUAUUUGUCCUUCACGAAACGAGUAUAACAAGUACGUGAAGUGAAAGUUGGUAAACAUACAAGUUGUGUUAUAUCUUUUUUAUGAAUGAAUUUUAAUUGUUAAUUUUAUAAAUUAUGAUUAACAAGGAAAUUGAAUCCGUCAUCUUUAUUUUUAUUUUUUAAUCACUUAAUUAAUCUUAUAUCUCAUGUAAAUGACACACAGUAAAAUGAUUUUAGUUUUUAUGUAUAUUUAAAUGAAGAAGAAAAAAGCAAGUAAUAAAAGAUAAAAUAAUAUAUAAAAUUUAUCAUAAUGUCAAAAAAUUAUACUAGUAUUUAAAUAAUGUAACUGUAACAAAAAUCUCACUUCCGAACAGAUGUAAUAUGACUCGUGACAAUCUAAAGGCUGCGAGGAUUCAAGCGUACUAUACGCUUUUUUAACUAGUAGAUUUGCUUGAGAUUGUUUUUCUUUAAAAAGAACCCUUUUGCCAGGAGUUGAGUAGUAAUUUCAUUUUUUUCAUUUUCUUAAAAAAAAUAUUAGCCAGUCUUUAAUUAGUGGGCAAUUGCUUUCUCUUCUACAAUCUUAAACACAUUACAAUGCCCUAAUUAAUUAAUUAGUUUUAAAGUAUCGUGUUCUUUGUAGCAACAACAUUAAUGAUGAUUUUCUUCCAAUUGUGGGGAUUGUUAUCAUCAUGUAAUUAUUAAGCAUCAUUGAGACUGGAAAAUAAUCUGGUAUACAAUAAUUAAGUCUAUUUGGUUAAUUAGUUGGAAAUCAGACACUUUUUUUUUCAGUCCUUCGAUCUGAUGGAUGUCAUGGAACUGAUUAAUGUACGAUCGAUCCUUGGUUGUGCAUUAAAGACAGUAAGUCAAUAUAUAGGUUUUUCUUACUCAUUUUUCCCAUUGUUGGUGUGUCGAUCCUAAGAUAUAAUAUUUGUGUUUUGUCAGAUUUAGUUUAAAUGUGAGUGUGUGUUGUUUUGCAAAAGCAGUUGUUCAGGAAUAUAUUGGGUGAGAUAAACAAAUCGGUAAAUUGGUGCUUUUGUUGAUAGGUCUGGGUGGAUUAAUUAUUAUGGCUUGAGUUGUGAUAUGUGAAUACUCCAGUACUGCUCUCAAUAUCUCAUUAACCAUUGUUCAUAGUAUCUGCAUCUUUUUUGUUAUCCCUCCUGAUGUCAACCAGAGAAGUGUCCACUCAUCUUUAUCCCUGUGGUUUUUUUUUUUUUUUUACUUAUAACAUUAUUGAUACAAAAUAUCUAUUAACUCUGAUGAUUAAUUUUUGUUUAAAAAUUUAACUAACUAUUUUUAGUAGAAUCAUUUUUUUCCAUCGUCAUGAUUUAUAUAGAACUGAUAUGUAAGCUGUUUUGCAUAAUAUAAAUGGAAAUGUCUACUUUUCAAAGAACAAAAAUAAACAUUGAAUAGAAGUUAAUUUGAAGGUUCGUAACUAUAAAUCAAACACACUAUAUGUAAUUCAUCCCCAUCGAUCGCACCACAGUUGCACAGCAUGCAUCCCGUCCAGUGUCCACCUGUUGUUUGUUCGUUCAGCCACCUUCCUGUCCAUACAUCACGAGUCACAACCAUUCCUUCGUCUACACAGCCAUGUGUACCUUCUCUCCACCCGAUUCACCAUAUCAUUUUUUUUUAGCCUAACCAACUCAAUAAUUUGAUUAAUUACUUCUAAACUUUUUUAAAGGGUACUUUUUAACUUUUAAAUCAAUACAUUUUAGACUUUUUUGUAAGCCAAGUUUUAAGUUUUAAUUGAAAUAAAAAAGAGGCAAGCUUAAGUACGUGCAAAGUGUGCAAAAGCAACACAUUUUAGACUUGAACUUAAUUUGUUCUUAACUUUUGUUUUUUCUUUUUUUUUUUAAUUUACUUUGAUCUUCUUAUCUUAUUUAGUCCUUCAAAUUUAUUUUUUUAUAUUUGAUCCCUGAAAUUUUUAAAUCUUUUCUUUUAAGUUCUUUAUUUAACUCCGUUAAUAUUUUAUAUUAAAUGUACGCUACAUCUUGUUGCAGAUAGAUAAUGUAGCUGAGAAAAUUGUUACAGUCAAUUCAUCGGCCGAUGUUUGUUCCAAGAAUUAGGUUUGACAACAACAAAUGUAAUAUUUGAAUUUAAUUAUAUGUACUUAUUUGGAAAUAAUAGAGUUGCAGACAUAAAAAAAAUUUCUAUUCUUGCAGGCACACUGAAUGUUAUUGCUAGAAAUAAAAAUGUUAAUAUUGGAACAAUUGUUGUUGUAAACAUUUAAUUGAAAAAUUAAUGGAGUAAAAUAAAAGACUUAGAAGGAGAAUUUUGAAAAUUUCAUGACCAAAAGUAAUCAUAUUAUUUUUGGAGGAUUAAAAUUAAUAUAGAUCUUUGGAGCACCAAAAUCAUAUCUAAUCCUUAAUUAAAUAAAAUGCUCAUUGUUGCCAAUUAAAACAUUUCUUAUCAUAAAUUAUAUUUUUAAUAAACAUAAUUUAUUAUUUAAUAAUAUUAUUUAUACAUUUCCAUUUUUAAAUCAAAGUAAUAAUAUUUGUACAUUGUAUGAGAAGUUUCUUAAUAAGUUAAUAACAAUAAAAAGUAUUAUUUAUUUUCUAAUCUGUUGAUUAUAAAAUAAUACGUAAACUAUGAUAAAUGUAUAACAUUAUUAGAAACUGAAUAAAAAAGUUUAAUAUUUCAAAAGAUGAUAAAUAACUCUUUUUUUUAUUUUCCAAACGAUUUUUUUUCUUAUCAUGUGAUUGAUAGUUCAAUACGAAAUAAUUUCGUCCAAAAUAAUGAUUAAUUUUCAUCCGAAGUAGAGAUGAGUAUUUUUCUAAAACUUAUAUAGAUAUGAACAAUUUUAUUUAUAAAAGUAAAUAAGAGAAAAAGACGGAGUAAAUACAUUACAGUAUUACACGAUCAAGAGGUCGUUGCAUUUGCAUGUUUCAUGUUUGUAUUCCACCGAAGAAGGUGGAAUCGUGCCAACGCUAAGCCCCAAGCAGAUCUUCGUUAGCACAAGAAAACACGAAUACGAUCAUUGACUCCGUACUCUCUCACCGAUGUGCCGUGUCUUCAUAUAUAUAUAUAUAUAUAUAUAUAUAUAUAUAUAUAUAUAUAUAUAUAUAUAUAUAUAUUAAGUAAAUAAAGAGAAGUUUAAUUUUAGGUUUACAUCCAUAUUUGUCCUUAUAGUUUUUUUUUAUCACUGUCCUUAUAGUUUAAUGAUUGUACAACUCUUUAGUCCCUAAAAAAAAAAAUUAUUGGACAUUUUGUUUCUCUUGUUUUAAAAAUUUAGUCAAUCAUUAGUUUGUUCUCAAUUUUUUAGAAAAAUUGACACAUCUUAAUGAUGAUAUAACUAAAAAUUUGGACGAUUAGCAUAUAUGUCAAAUAAUUAUUUUAUUUAUUCCAUCAAUAUGUUAUUGUUACGUCAUCACUUAGAUAUUACAUCAAUAUAUUUUAAAAAAAAAUUGAUGUCAAACUAACUAUGGACUAAAAUUACUAGAUUUUACAUAUUUUGGAAAAUCAAAUGUGCAAUAAAAUUUUUCAAAUGAUCAAAAAUCACACAAUCAUAGAACUAUAAGAAUUAACCAACAGUAAAUUUGAUUUAAAAGUUAACUAAAAGUGAAUUUAAGCCUUAAUUUUAUGUAUUUUACUUUUAAAAGAUUUUGAAAAAAUAAUUCAUCUACUAAUCAUGAAAAAAAAUUCAACUUUCAUCUAAUCACAAAUUUAUAUAUAUGAUGAAUUUAUUCUUUUUUUAUAUAAUAAUUAUCUUAAAAAUCAUAAAUAUCAUUAUUAAUUGAUUGGUGAUAUAAAAAUUUUGAUACUAAUGAUGAGUAAAAUUUAAAUUAUAUUUUUAUGCAUUUUAAUGUAAAAUAUUAGGUUAAAUAUCUUUUACGACCUUGUAAAUUAGAGUUUUUUUAUUUUCAUCCUUGUAAAUUUAUUUUUUCGUUUUAGUCAUUGUAAAGUAUGUUUGUUUUAUUUUUUAUCCUUAAAACACUUUAGAUAGUGUUUUUUUUUACUAUUCAAAAUAUUUUUUUACAAUUCAAAGCGAUAUUUAAAGUGUCUUAGGGACAAAAAACAAAAUAAACACAUUUCGUAAGGACUAAAAUGAAAAAAAUAAUUUUGCAAGGAUGAAAAUGAAAAAAGGUUAAAUUACAAGAACGAAAAAUACAUUUAAAACUAAAAUAUUUUAUAUAUUAUCAAUUAAUUAAAAAUCAUGAUAAGUAUAACUUUUUUUGUUGUAAAAUGGCAACAAUAAAAAUCAAAUUUAACCCCACAUGUAUAUUAUUUAAAAUUCCUAUUAUUAAACCAACCCUAAUGGUCAUUGUAACUUUUGAAAUAAUCAUUGUAAAAGUUAACAAACAUGUCAUACAUAUCAAUUUAUAAUUAAAUAAUACUAGUAAGAUAAAACUAUUUACACUAUUAAUAAAUACAUUGUUUACUUAAAAAAUAAUUUAAAUAUUUUUUAUAUGUUAAUGUAAUUACUAAUCAUCAUAUGAUAAGCUUGUUAAUUUUUAUAAUAAUUAUUUAAAAAAUUACGUUAUAGAUGAAUUAUAAUAUCAGAAAAUCUAACUUAAUUGAUGGUGUAAUAUGCUUAAGUUGUUGUAAAAAAAUUUAUACCAAAGUUUGACUUCUCUCUAUGAAAAAUAUAAAAAGAUGAACUCCAACAUGAUAACUUUUGUCUUUUUAUACUAAUAACAUCAAAAUUUCAGAAUAAAUUAUAAUUUUAGUUCCUAUUUAAUUCAUCAUCCACAAUAUUACUCACAUUUUUUCUAGUGAUUUUACUUUCCAUAUUUAAGAAAAUAUGCAACUUUUGUCCUUUAUUUUAAUGAUUAUUAAUAAUGUGUCAGGAUUAUGAUGAGGGGGAAAUAACACUUAAAAAUUAACAAAUAUUUUAAUUAAUUAAAAUGUAAAAAGAAAGUAAAAUUUAGGUUGGGUUGAAUUUGGAUUUUUAUUUUACUUUAAAAUAAAAAAAGAUGUAAAGGGAUAAGUUGGGUUGGAUUUGUGAUUAUUAUUAUUUUUUAUCUUAAACCCAACUCAAUCACAAACUAAUUGAUUUGGUUAAUUCAACUGGGUCUUAACAUUUAAAUUUAUUCUAAAUUUUUCAAAACUAUAGUUGUAAUAAGGACUCUUAAAAAAAGUUGUAAAAAGGAAAGAAAAACAAACGCUGCAUCACAUGCACCAUACUUAGAUGAAGAUAAAUACAAUGUACUCAAAUAAUAAUAAUAGUAAUAGUAUGUUAUAUCAAUAGGUCAAUGGAUUGAGUUUAUGGAUUCAAAAAUUCAAAACAUGUAACCAAACCUAUACACAAGAACCGGUUUGCUAAGCUGAGUUUGACCCAAAACUAGAAAAACCAACCAAAAUAAUUCAGUUGAUUUAGAUAAUUAAAUCAAGUUUGUCAGUUAUUCAGAUUCAUUAAUCCAUCCAUUAAUACCCCUAUAAUUAUAAUUUGUUCGCUUGAUAUUGUAGUUGAAAAAUUACUUGAAACUACACAUACUUUCACGUAAGUGUAUCGUGACAGGAUCCACAUCCAUUAGAAAUAUUCUGUCAAUGUAACAGCAGAUAAUGGUGACAGAUGUGCAUGUGGGGCUUUGAAUUGACUCUGAAGGGUCGAAUGUGGGUCUUUUUUUUUAACACUCUCUUCAUAUUCUUUUAAAAAAAAUUAUGAUGAAAGUACACGACAAAAUUUCCAUCUGAAUUAUUUUAAAAGAAAAUCUACACCUUAUUUUCAGAUGCAUUGAAGUGAAGAGAAGAGAUAAAUAUUAAAAACAUAAAGAAAGAUAUAAUAUAAUAUGAUAGAAAAAUAAGAAAACAAAAAUAAAAAUAGAUGAAAAAGAAUUGAAUAUAUGUUUAUAAGAGUUGUUUUUUAACUAGUUAAAAUUAAUUAGUGUCUCAUUGGAAUGCAGUUAGCCGAAACAUAGUACGAGAGGUGUUAGAAAACAUUGACUCUUGAUUUGGUUGUGUUCAAAUUGAGAAGAAGAGACAAGAGAAACUUUUUAAUUUUUUUGUGUGGAUCCUACAUUUUACUCCCGUGUGAGAUUUAAGAAAUAUUGAAAGUGAAUUUAUAAAAAGUUGAAAUAUCUUUUGUAAUUUAAUAUUUUUUUCUUGUAAAAUUAUUUUUUUUUAUUUUUAAUUCUUAUAAAUUAUAAAUUAUGUUUAUUUUAUUUUUUAUUCUUAUAAUGAUUUAGAUAAUAUUUUUUCACUGUUUAAAAUGAUAUCUAAAAUAAUUUAAGAAUUAUUUAAAAUGAUAUCUAAAGUAAUUUAAGAAGUAAAAGACAAAAUAAACAUAAUUUAUAAGAAUUAAAAAUAACUUUUUUUGAUAAGGAAAUUUUUUUUUAUAAAGAACUAAAAAGAUAUUUGAGCCUUUAUAAAAUAUUUAUAUAACUGAGAAUUAGCUAUGAUCAAGUUUAUAUCUUUAAUAAUGUUUCACAAGAAUACUCCCGUGUGAGAUGUAAUUUGGAAAACAAUAGCUUCCAAUAUGAGGAGUCGUUCGCGCAAUUGGGUUGUCUUCUUUUCUUGAGACUCGACCUGGAAUUUAGGCAGCACAAUUGCACAAAUUGUAAAGUUAGCCCAGAGAGAACGAGGGAGGUUGGCUAUUGGUCCCACUGCCCUUGUUAAUGGCCAAGGGGGUUGAAUCCUUUUUCUUUCUUCUCUUCCUGAAAAUAUUGUUUUUCUGAAAACAAGAUGGUGUUGUACAAUUAUAUAAUGAAAUUGUAUUUUCAUUAUGUGAUGGGGUGCCAAAAAAUACAUAAUAAAAAUAUAAUUUUGUUAUAUAUUUAUCAGUAAAAUCAUAUUUUCUUUAUAUUAAAUGGCUGAAAAAAAAUAAACAAGAAAAUAAGAUUUUGUUGAAACAUUAUGAUAGAAUCAUAUCUUGAUUAUUGGACGAAAUUGUAUUUUAGUUGUUAUUUUAACAAGGGUGGUGUGCAGCUUGGUGUUGUAGUGUGCGUGAUGGUUGGACAUGUGUUGAUGAGAACGGCACGCGACAUUGUUGGGAUCGUGGUUGUGCUGCGCGCGGCUGACGUUGGUGUUGUGGGGCGACAAUGAUGGAUCGUUGGGUUCAGAUCUUGGGGGGUAGGGAAGGUGAAAGAGAAAGAGGAGGUUUUGCAUUGAAGGGUAAGAGGGUUUUUUCUAAUAUUUGUAGGGAGCAAUAACAAAGGCUCUAGGAUCAAUAUCAAUUCCCAAUAAUUCAUCAUUCAAGCCUUAGACUUUUGGCAUAUAUGGGUUCACCAUGACAAGAUCAAUUUGUUGUCCAAAGUUAGGAAAUGUUUUCAACAAAAAAGAAAUUAAACCUAUUUUUCCUCCAAGUUUCUCCCCUAUUCAAAGCAGUGAGAUUAUCACUAAUGCAGUAAGAUAUGUGAUAAUUGUCCGUUUUUAAAAAAGAUCUUUGACGAUUGUAUGUCAAUUUGAUAGAAAUUCAUCCCUUUUCUUUAUCAAUUUGUUGAAAAUUCAAAACAUGUAAACUAGUUUAGUUAAAACAAAUAAUAGAAUCAUAACAUAAAUGAUAGAUAACAUUAUUCCUUAGUAUGUAGCAAAAAAUUUGAUAUUUGAUUUGUACUAUAAAAGAUCUGUUGGAAGAGAUGAAUCCUUUAAAAUUUAAAUUCAUCUCAAGGGAUACCUGGUUAAAAAAAAAAAAUAGAAAUGUCAUUUACCAAUUUUUUAAUAAUAAUAAAAUAAAAUUAGAUCUGACAUGUGCACAUGUUUUGUAAAAGCUACUUCUCUAAAUGUCAAGAAAGUGGGCCGUUUGAAAAGCACGUUAUAUAAUUAAGCAAUUAAGCGGGCCUUGGGCCAUGAAGUACAAUGGGAAUAAAGCAUUCACAUGGUCCAUCCAUCAGGAAGAGAAAUUAUUAUUUUAAUUUUAACGGCGGCACCGACAUUCGUUUUUGUUACCGCGUAAAUCAAACGGAAUUAUAACUCCACCAUCAAUGCUAUAUUAAUCGCGAGAAAGAGACAGAACCUGUUUGUUUGUUUGAUGUUCCUUCCUUGCGAUCCAAGGAGAAGUAAGAAUCGUUCAGAAGCUCGUCACCAUGGCUUUGUUAGCAAUAUUGGGUCAUAUAUAUAUAUAUAUAUAUAUAUAUAUAUAUAUAUAUAUAUAUCACAUAAAUUGAAUAAGUUAGAGUCAUUAUAUAAUUAAUCAAAAUAUUAAAGAGGUCUUAUCAAUAUAAAAGUAUGGCAUGAAAGGUUUCUAUUGUGUAAAUACCAAGGUUAUAAUUCCAUGUGUAGAGAAGCAACAAGUACAGUUUAGUUUUUCUCUUUAUCCCAUCAAUAAAAUUCAGAGAAAGAAAAGAAAAGGGUUAUGUGAUUAGGAUUGAUGAUUGAUUGAAUCUCAAUAUUUGAAAUUGAAUCCCAACAUUUAGUACUAGAGCUACCCAUACUUAAUUCAUGUAUGAUGUUUGGAGAACAUACACACACAUUAGUUAUAGUGUUUUUUUUUUUAGGAAACAAAUAAGAUUAUCACAUUACCACGGGAUGAAUAAUGAUAUAAAGCAUUUGAUAUAAAUUGUUCUUACUUUUAGAGGCUGCUGUAUAUUAAAAUAAUAAUCAUGGGCCUCUAAAAUUUAAAAUAAAUAAAUAAAGUUAAAAUAAUCCAUUUAACAAUCCGUCCAUAUUCACCCUCAAUAUUCUCCCCAGAUGGUUCCCACAGCUGACGUAUGGCUAAUUUUAUAUUGGAACCUACAAUCUUCUUAUUAUCCUUGUAACUGAAGUACUGGCUCUUAAAUAUGUCAUCAUAUUUCUUAAAUGCUUUGAGACUGAAUUUAGGACCAGGUUCAGACUUACAGUCACAUUUUUCAACAUUCUGGUUAUUUGGAAUGCUGGUGUUUCUAUUACCAAGCUGAGAGUCUAAAGCUACUUUUACAUCUCUUUUUCUCUUGGUUUUUGUAUUUCCAUGAGCACUAGCCAUAGUUUCUUGUGCAUGCUGAACUUGGUGUCCAUCAAUUCGCUGAAUCUGAGCAACAAAUUCAGACUUUUCUAAUAUGUUCUUUUUCUCAAGAGAGCAUGGUGGUUUCCAGCAAGUGGGAGGGACAAUAUGGAAAAUUCCAUAAGGUUCUGCUCUGGAACAUAUGCUUGCAAUAUAUUUAAGUGGGUAUUUGAAUUCCUUCAUAAUGUGCACAAUUCUUCAAACAUUUUAUUCUACAAUCUUAACAAUCAUAAGAAUCCACAUUUGAUGACAUAAAUUAAGAAAUGUGCAUGAAAACAGAAGAGUGUUUCCAUGUACACGUCUUCUGUUGGGUGGUAGGUACCUCUUCUGUUGGGUGGAAAAUAGGAGCUUCUUCCAAAACUUCUCUUAUGGUGCAUCCCUAGGAUGCCACCUUGCUGUUACCUGGGUCAAGACUUUGAUAAACAAAAAAAAAAAAAGGAGACAUGGUCAUGACUGUUCAAGGAAAAGUGAAAGGUACAUACAUUCUCACAAUUACUGCAAUUCAAAAGGUUGUAGAUUUAUCACUUUUCUUAACAUUUCCACCCUUUUCAAAAUAAAAGAUGUCAGGGAUGUAAAACCAGAGGGAACUGAAAGAUUGUCUCUCUUCUCAAAUUUGGUGCAAUCCUUUCCAUAUUCACUGCAGGCAAAAGCCAAGCAAAUAUUAUCUAGAAAACCAUUUUUAGCACCAAUGGGUACUUGGAAUAGAAAAUGAAAUAUUGGGAUAGAAUGAAUGAAACAUGAUUGCUGACAAUUUUCUACCCCGAUAGAAUUAUUAUUCACUCAACAGUUCGAAAUUCAAACCAGUACAACAGCUCAAUAAAACAUCCAACAUUUCAAUAGGAGAAGAGAAGUGCAGACAGAAUAGGAAAGUGUGGACAAAGAAACCAAAAGCUAACGAAAUUCAACUGUAAGUAUUGAUGAUACAGAAGUUGUGCAUCUUAACAUAGAGGACACAGAAGCAACAUUUCCAAUAAUGUGUCAAUGAGUGAUAAAAAAAUUAGACACUGUUUUAAGUUAAGAAUAUAUCAGAAACAAGGUAGUCAAACUCAAGAUUUUACUCAGACUUGGAAAGGGGAAACAGAAUCGUAAAUCAGGGAAUCAUAACACGAAGCGUAAGAUUCUACAAGAUUCAUGAAUUCAUAUUUCAUAUAUAUGCAUAUAACAGCAUAAAUAAGAGGAGGGGGGGUGGGAGGGACCUUUAUAGCACACAUCAAAUACUUAAUUGAGCUUAAAUUCAUAAGCAUAUGAAGUCAAUAAAUAAGGUCAUAAAUGACAAACAAAACAACUUAAAUACUGCAGUACUGCCUACUGCGAGUACAAAACACCAGGACAUGAACAGACAGAGAACUGAACCAGACAAACAGAACCAGAACCCAAACAAUAGCUCACAGAAACAGAGAAACAGAACCAGGUUAACAGAGCCGCAUAUUAACAGAACAGAACUGGUUUAAAACAAAGAGCUCGGAUGUGGUGGAGAAAAGCUCUGGAUGUGGCAGAGAGGAGCUCUGAUCACAUUGCAUUUCUGUAGCAAUUUUGGGGGAGAGCUGCAAGAGGUUGAAGACACACAGUCACGAAGAAAAGAAGUGUUUUUCUUGGUUCUUUCGGUCUAAGGGCUAGUGAACACUUGGCUUUUGGGCUUGGGUUUAUGGGCUUAGGUUUGUAGAAGCCCAAAAAAACUUUGAAACCCAACCAGCCAAGCAGAAUCAAAAACUCUAAAAUUCUACUGAGUUUACAAUUCUACGCUGUGAUUCUACCAAUUCUACUCAUUUACGAUUCUGAGCACAUAUACACUCGCCCAGGUACUAGAGAAGCAUAGAAUUGUGUGAUUCUACGAGUCAGCCUGCAAUUUUGACUACCAUGAUUAGAAUUAAUGAUGUGUAAUAUUAUUUCAUUUUUUUUAUAAUUAAAACACAGUUUUGUAAUUAUUGUUUCUUGCACUUCUCUGCUUUAGUGAACAAGAA
rnacentral:lncRNA from 1 species